ACCUAGCUGGUCUUUCAGAGAUUCUAAGGAAAGGGACUGGUUGCGUAAAGGGAAGGUAUUAGCACCCCUAGUACGCCCUACCUAAGGUAAGCUGCUUGGUGUUUGGUUUGCUCUAUAAUCUAUGGUGUUGGUGUUUUCUGGUCCUGUAAAUUUUCCUAGAUUUGAUUCAAAAAAACAAUUUACUUUGGAUAGAAAUUCAAGGAGAUUCCAUAUGCUUUGAAAGCUCAUUUUUCCCUUAGUAUUUCAAGACUUUGCGACUCGUAAAUCGCAAGGAGGAGGAACGAUUUUUUUUUAGAAAUCUAAGAAAAUUCACAGCGCUUUAAAAAAACCUCCUCUUGCCUUAGUAUUUCCACUUUCAUGGCUCGUAAACCAUGGAGUAAAAAAUUUGAAAUUUUGAAAUGUCCUCGAUUAUAAUCAAGGCUUCUUUCAAAGAUGUGUGCGGAUUUAUUACUCCCACUAAUAUUUUGGAUAUUCGUCCUUUAAGGAUUUCUUUAUCCAAAUAUUAGCGGUGAAUAAUAGAUGAAUCCCCCCCCUAAAAUAAAAUUUUUAUAGUUUUUGGAAUAUUGGCCAAUACCCUUUGGAGUUUUACAAACUUGUUGUAAAAUCCAAAAAUGCAAGAAAAUAGUUUGUGUUUAAGAAAUCUAUGCGAAAAAACACUUUCAAAGCUUCCAAUAUUUUUUUUUAUAAAAAUAACAUUCAAAACAUGUUAGAGUAUUGGCCGUAUGCAACACGCAAGAAAACAUUUUUUUUGUAAACAUUUUUUUUUUGACAAAAACGGAUAUUUUAAACACUGAAUUUGUAUCUCCACAGUAUAAAAAUAGAAACCAAUAUAAAAAAUCAUAAAAAAAUGUGCAGGAAAAAUCAACAAUAUUUUUAAGGAAAUUUUUUUAGAAUUUUUUUUAAAGCAAAAAGACAUUUUUUAUCUUUGAAAAUCUUGGAUGUCUUGACGAAAACCGGGUAUUUUAAACACUGAAUUUGUAUCUCCACAGUAUAAAAAUACAAACCAAUGUAUAAAACAAAUAUAUAUAUGAAAAGAAAACAACAAUAUUUUUUAGACUUUUCGGAUUUUUUUUUUUAAAAUAUAUAUACAUGCAUAAUAUAAUAUAAUAAUAUAAUAUAAUUUAUAAAUAUAUUAAUAUAUUAAAUGGGCUGGGCCGGACCCAACCCCAAAAGUCGUUAGGCCGAACUUGGCCCAAAAAGGAUUGGGCCGAUCUCAGCCCAACACCUAAUCUACCUUGGUCUGGGCCGGACCCAGCCUAGACCGCCGGAUUGGGCUAGAAACCCUCUGGCCCAUCCCACAUAGCUUUGGGCCAGAAACCAUCUGGCCCAGAGAAGAAAAAAACACGGGAGGGGAAAUUAUUUUCCCCCCCGCCUCCUGCAUGCAGAACGAUUCUGCAUGCAGGAGGCAACUUCUGCAAGCUUCGGGGACAAAAAAAAAAUGCGCAGGGGGGAAAAGGAACAGUACCUGGCACGAUGGAGAUGAUGGCUUGCUGGCGGUGCUGCGGUGGAGGCGGUGGCAGUGUCCUAACUCACGGUGGCUCCUCACGGUGAUUUCCAAAUAGUCCGGCGACGUCCUCUCGGUUUUUUUCUUGGUUUUUGUUUUCUAAAGUCCCUCCCGGCUUCAAUCCUUCCCCUUUGCUCUCGAUUUUCUGGGGUUUUCGGUGACUCUCUCCUCUGUUAGGUCGUUUCUCUCUCCUCCUCUCCCUCUUCGGUUUUCUUUGUUUUUCUUUGGGUUCUCUUUUUUUUCUCCUCUCUUUUUCUCUGUUUCUUCUCUAUAUAUAGGGAUACCAGGGCAAUGGCUUUGUCCUGGCCGCAUGGGGAGUGGGGGCACGCUGGUCGGUCGGUCGGCAGGCGCCGCUGCCAAGGCGGGUUUCCCUCGGUUUCGGUGGCGCGGCGGGUGGUCGGCCAUUGGCUUUGGUUUCGGUGGUCCCGAGGCGUGGAGCGUCGGGUCAUGGCACGUGAGGAGAGAGGCGGGAACAAAAACCCCGGUUUUCCUCUUCCCUGCUGCGCAUGCGGGGGGAAGAAGAAAGGGAAACAAUGCCGUUCAAAACGGCACCGUUUGGUCUCUCUUUUUUUUUUUUCUUUUAAAACGUAUGAAACGGCGUCGUUUUGGAGAAAACGCGCCGUUUCAUUCAAAUGUGGCGCCAGAAACGCGCCAAUGUUCAAAUCAACCCCCCAAUUAUUUUUGUUCAUUUCAAUUGCGUCCCUGCCAAUUUCGGUCCCUGCCCCCAUAGUUGGCCGUGUUUUCCACUUUGGUCCUUGGCCUCUGAUUUAUGCAAUUUAGUCCUCAAUUGAUCAAAAACUUCCAAUUUCUUCAAUUAGGCCCCUGAAUCAAUUCAAUUGCAGCCCCUCCAUUUACGCGCCUCUUCCAAUUUGGUCCCUGGUUUCGGAUUUCCUCAAUUAAGUCCCUAAUUGGCCAUUAAACUUCAAUAUUUAUGCAAUUAAGCCCCUGAUUUAACCUAAUAAAUUCCUAAAAAAUAUAAUUGGGUCCCAGAACUUAAAUUUCUUCGAAUUAAAGCCCAAAUUGACUUAAAAAUCAAUUUUUCUUGCAAUCAAAUCCCCUAUAAACUUAAUGAAAAAUCCAAUUAAGUCCAUAAACAUCCAAAUUUGGACUUUUCUCCUCAAACUUCCAAUUUUCUUAUUCAACAGGGUUCUCAUCAUUCAAGAAUAUAUUGUCAAAAAUCCAUCUUUGUAUUUUUAACUUCCUUGAUCGAUUUUUUUUUUGACCAUUUGCUUAGCGCUUCUGCCUCCUGUUAUUUUUCCUAAACUCCUUUGGCUAUUUAUUUUAUUUUAUUUAUUUGGGGACCCGAAAAUGGGUUACAACAGAUGCCCCCUCUUUAUAAAGCUUACGGAGCAGAGGUUUUGCGCAGUAAGUUUUAUAAAGAUAAACCAAAACUGAACUCCAGAAACUGAUCUGGUCGGAGCCUAAAAACUAUGAUCAAAAUUUAGUCAUCUCAAGAUCCCUUUUGGCGCCCUCCUUUGACUAAUAUUGCAAUAAGAGAUCCCUUCCAGCGAUCUCAAUCAACUUGGAAACCCCUCUGGCGAUUCCUUUCAACCAAAACUAAACUCUGUGUGUGGUUGGAUUAACCUGAGAUCUCAGCUAGCGAUCUCUUUCAAGCACAACCAAUAAAAAAAUGCAUGUGUGGUCUUAUUAUGAUGGGUGACCUGCCCGAGUGGAAAAAGGGAAGAGUGGUCUCAUUCUUAUGGGUGACCUACCCAGGGGGAUGAAUGGUCUCGUUAUUAUGGGUGACCUACUCAGGUAAAAAAAAAAAGAUGGAGAAUGGUCUCAUUCUUAUGGGUGACCCACCCAAGUGGAAAAAGGAAGAGUGGUCUCAUUCUUAUGGGUGACCUACCCAGGGGGAAGAAUGACCUCAUUAUUAUGGGUGACCUACCCAGGUAAAAAAAAAAGGAGAUUGAUCUCAUUCUUAUGGGUGAACUACCCAGAAAAAAUAAUGGUCUCAUUGUGAUGGGUGACCUACCCAAGUGGGAAAGGGAAGAGUGGUCUCAUUCUUAUGGGUGACCUACUGUUGGUUAUUUUUGCAAGUGCACAAAUCUUAACAAGUAAUAAAGUGAUGAGUAGAGUAUCGUCCCACGAGGAUUUGUAAAAGUUACUACUAAUUACCAAAGUCUUUUAAAUUAUGAUCUAUUUGAAGAAUCGAAUGAGAUAGUUUAUGAAACAAAAAUUAAUGAUUAAAAAGGUAACAACUAUUUGAUUAAAUAUUAAUGAAUUCAAUUGUACUGGUUCUAGGAUUUCUGACUUACCGUAACUAUGCCUAUGUGAACUUUCUCAAUUAAAUUAAUUACUCCUAAUGUUGAUAAUCAAGUUUUUCUAAUGUAAAUAUUAAUCUCUCUCGAGCAUCAAUAAAUUAUUUCGACAAACAAAUUUCAUAUACUCUACGAAAGUUCUGAACUUGUCGAUAUUAUUAAGUACUGUAAAACCUGUAACGAUUACAAAAGUUCAUAGGAUAUCUCUAUCCUAUAGAUUUCUUAAGGUAUUUCAAACAAUAGCUAAAACAAUUAUUACUUCUCAGUUUCAAAUUGAAUUCUAAAUCAUGCAAAUGUUGGCCAAACACACGCAAGCAUUACACAUAGAAUGAAAUACUCAACAUCUUAAUGUAAUAAUUCAAUCGAAGAAAUUGUUCACAUAUUCAUAGUAAGGUUACAUCAAAAAUCCCAGAAUAAAAGUCUACUCCAUAGUUAAAUUAAAGAGAAACAAACUUGAUACGAUGAACAUCACUCAAAAGCAGAGAAUUUCCGUCGAAAAGAUAGGUGUCCUCCCGGUUUUUGAAUAGUUUUGCCUCUGCCAAAGGUGUAUUUUCUUUUUCCCUUGGUGCCGCCUCCUCUCUUUUUGUUUUCUAUGUUGUAGGUUUUCCGUCUGUUCAAUCCCCCCCUUUUUCUCUUCUUUUAUAUUGUGGCUUUUCUACCCCUGCAGUAAUGAGGAAAAUUUCCUAUUCUGCAUUAAAUUCCUUCCUACUCAGACAUUGCGGGCCCGAUUUGAGGUAGAAAAAGUGCGAAUUAGAGGAUCUAUAUUUCUGGAGAAAUUGUAGAGAAUCAGAUUUUAUUUCCAACAAAACUGAUCUUGCAAUUUUUGGACGUCUGAGUGCUGAGAUAAGGGCCAUAAACCGAAGCAGUCUUUGCAGUGCAGGAGUUUCGGGCUGGUUCAAUCCUUGUUUUUCAACUCGCUUUUUGGGCUUCGAAACAACAAAACUGAGUUAUAUGCCCUUCAUAUGUUUUGUAGACCUUCAUCUCAGCUAUUUGAAAAUGGUUACGAACAUCCGGAACUAAUUGUAUAGCUUCUUUGCAGCACAUAAUGAAUCACUGUUCAGUUUCACUGCCCGGCUCUGCCUGUUUAGUAACCUAAGAUCUGAAAACACAUUAAUUUCCCACGAGGUCAAUAGUUCAAAAAGAGAUUCAAAAUUCUAAUUUUCUUGUUCAACAUAUCCAAAAUAUUUAAAAAUCAAGCAUGAAUAGCGAAAAAUAUACAUGCUAAAAAUUCCCUUAUCACCUACCCAGGGGGAAGAAUGCCUCAUUAUUAUGGGUGACCUACCCAGGUAAAAAGAUGAAGAAUGGUCUCAUUCUUAUGGGUGACUGAUUAGUACUUAAAAGUGCAUAUUUAUCAAGGUUUUAUAUCAUCAUUUUGUACUUAAAGUAUCAAUGACUCUUUAACUAAAGCAUGUUUUAUAAUAAAAAUUCUAAUACUAUAAAAUGCCCUAAUAUAUGGUAAAUGUUCAUCUUAAAUGCAGGCCUAUCACAUAAAUCAAAGGAUUGAUUGAUGAAUUCAACUACUGAAAUUUGUGAAGAUAAAGAGAGGGUGAAACUUAGAAAAGAGAUGUUGGUGCAGUCCAAACUGGAACACUGUUCGGUAUUUGGGUCAUAUCUCGAGUUCUAGAUGUCCAAAUGAUCUCAUAUUUUUACACAAACUUGGUGAGAAAUAGGCCUACAACUUUAAUGUGAACAUAAAAAUCUAACAAGGCCGUUUUCAAGUCCAAAUCAUAGCAACAACAGAGAAGUCCGAAUCUGUCCUACAGCCCAAACACUGUUCAGUGUUUGGCCCAUAUUUGGAGUUCUAGAAGUCCAAAUCACCUCCAUAUUUUUUCCUGGAAAGCUGAGUCAAUUUCCUACAACUUUCAUGUUUUCCAGAGGAUCCAGUUCGGAUGGUAGCAUUUUUGUUUUAUUCAGACAAGAAGAUAAGGAUUUUCACCAAGUCAAAAGUUGGCCACCCACUCAACAAUUAUUCAUCAAAUCAAUAAUUCCGAAUUUUAGCCUAUAAAAGGAGGCAUUUGCCAUGUAUUUUGGGGGCUUGGUUGUUCAGAUCAAGUUCAUGCUCUUUAUUUCUCUCUUUAUAUUUUUUGUAAUUCUUAAGUUUUGCUUUCAUUAAUUUCUUGUUUAUGCUUUUCAUUUCCUUUCCUUUUCUUAGUUAACUUGUAUCUUAUUUAUGUUCUUGUUUUGUUUAUUUAUGUUUCUCUUCUUCAUUAUAUUUAGCUAAGUUUAUUAUGUCAAGGUGAAAAGGUUACACUAAUGGUGUAAGAACAAGUAUGGUGUAAACUCAAUAUGGAUCUUAAUAUUUAAUAUUAACAUGUCUUAUCUUUUUAUCUUACUAAUUCUUAAUACCUUGCUUGUUAAAUGGUUAAUCUAGAUUUGUGUUGUAUAACAUUUGGUACAGCAAAUGCUUGGCACUCUCAUAGCCCAACAGUAUGGUAUUACCUACACCUGGGCUAUGAAAAUAACUUGAUUUGUUGUUAACAUCAGUUAAUAUCAUGAAUUCCUGACAAUAUUUAAAAGUUUGGUGUUAUGUAAUUAAGAUAAUUAAUAUGAUCAUGUUAAUAAUUUAUAAUGAGCUAUUAAUGACAAAUCAUCCGAUUGGAACCUCCUUCAUGUGUGGUUUCCAAAUUGAGUAAUAAGAGUUUAUACUAUACUUGUUUGAAAUACCAUUGGUGGAUCCUCUAACCUUGACAUUUGUUUUUAUCAUUGUUUAAUCCUUACAUUAAUCUUCCAUCUCAAAGUUCUCAUUAAUUUCUUCCUCCUCCUCUUCUUUUAUUAUUAUUAUUGUCAUUACUAUUACUAACACUAUUAUUAUUAUUAUUAUUAUUUUAUUAUUUUAUUGUUAUUGUUAUUAUUAUUAUUAUUAUUAUUACUAUUACUAUUAUUAUCAUAAAUCAGUAUAUAGGCUGGAAACCUGUGACCCGAUCUUUUAGAUAUUCUCAGGUAUAACAACGCCACGUAGUGAGUAUUAUUAUUAUUACUACUUACUACUACUACUACUACUACUACUACUACUACUAUUAAUAUAUUAUUACUAUUACUAUUACUAUUAUUAUUAUUAUUAUUGUUAUUGUUAUUGUUGUUGUUGUUUUCUUGUUAUUUAUAAUUUAUACAAUUAACCUCUCUGUGGUUCGACCCCGGUCUUGCCGGGUUAUUUAUUACUUCGACACUCCUGCACUUGGAGAAGACAUCAAUUUUUUGGUCGUGUCAGUAACCUACCCAAAAAAUAAUGGUCUCAUUGUGAUGGGUGACCUACCCAAGUGGAAAAGGGAAGAGUGGUCUCAUUCUUAUGGGUGACCUACCCAGGGGGAAGAAUGACCUCAUUAUUAUGUGUGACCUACCCAGGUAAAAAAGAUGAAGAAUGGUCUCAUUCUUAUGGGUGACCUACCCAAAGAAAAUAAUGGUCUCAUUGUGAUGUGUGACCUACCCAAGUGGAAAAAGGAAGGAAAAUGGUCUCGUUUUAACGGGUGACCUACCCAGCUUAAACUUCAAAAGGAAACAUCUUACCUCGGGGGAAUGAAAUAGUGCUGGUUCAUAAUUCAUAUUCUUUUCGUAGCUCUGUUGAUCUAUAUCUUAGUGAUUCCCCAAAACUUGGAACUAAUUUGGGAUUUCGUCCCACCUUCCUGCCAGGUUAGUGUUAUGACAAUAUAAUAUGCAUGUUUUUGUUACCUAUCUUGGAAACAUAGGUCCCCCUUUCGUUGCAAACCUCUUCGAACUAUCGUUUCCAUUUGUUUGUCCAAACUUUCUCAUGAACCGAAAUAUACUUCAUAUCCUCUUAGUGAAAAGAUCUCUAGUUCCUUAUGGGGCCCUUUCUUGCUCCAUUGAAUUUUGUGCUUUAUUAUUUUAAAAGGAAAAAUUGGUUUUGUUCAUGAAAACUGAAACUUUUAAUGCAAUUAGCAAUUCUCAUAAAAGAUGCCCUUUUUUAGAAAUUUUUAUUAUGAUACCCCUUUCGGACUUGGGUUCACUAUGGACCCCUAUGUGCACUUCGUGCACUUUUUGCCCCCUAGUGUGAUGUGCAACUAUAUGUCAAGCAGAUUUGAUUUGGUUCUCUCCAAUUGAUGGAGUCAUCUCCUUAGUCAUGCGUAAGAAGUUCUUUUAAGUAAAAGCAUUUCAAAUGCUAUGAGAUCAUAUGUUUUGUAUAUAUAUAUAAAAGAAAGCUCUUUACAAAGAGAAUUCAUGGCCGGACUUUAUUUUAUUGACUGGGAAAUUAUGAAAUACAUCAAACAUAGUAUUUUUUAAAAAUAAAUUUUUACACAACUUUUCAGAAUAGUAAAAAAUUCCUUUACGUAUCUCAAGUCGCCGUAAUUUAAGCAUGUUUUCUUGGUUUAAACAAUAUAUAUUUAUAUAGAUAUAAAUAUAUAAUAUUAAAGUCAAUUUCUAUCAAAUGUGUUAAUAUAGUGUGUUGACAAAGCAUUUUUAUUUAAAACAGAAGCUAUCAAUAUUUGAUUCUUAGUUUAAAUAAAAAAAAUUUAAGUUAAACGAUCAGCUCCUCAAACAAACUGAGAUAGGAUUGCAUCAGAAUUAAACUUGGGUUCCAUGGAGAAUACUGCAGCGGGGACGGGACAGUAAGUAUUGCUUGAGCAUUUAAAAUGUUUUUUUAAUAUAUUAAUAUAAUAUUUUUAUAAAAAUAUAAAAGAAUAUAUUAUUUUUUUUUCUUAAAAAACUCAAAUUCUACCCCAGAGUCUUCUUUUCCGCGGAUGACACGUUAAACUUGGGCUCUGUGGAAAAAAGGACGGGACAGCAGUGAAAGGAAAAAGAUAACUAGACUUGUGUUCUUCGUCUUCGCUAUUAUUUUUUUCUAAGACCUGUUUGGCUGCUAAAAAUUAUUUUUUUAUGAAAUAUAUAUUUUUAUUUUUUAAAAUUUUUGUUUAUACUUUUCUCCUGCAUUGUUAAUUAACUGGGCUGAAAAUAGCUAGAUAUAUAAAAAGUUUAAGAAUACCCUAUGAAAAUUUAGUAAAUUCCCAUAAAAACUCAAAAAAAAAAAACAUGUUUAACCAGUUUUUAUUAAAAAAAAAAAAACCAAACAGUUCAGUUGUGAUAUUUUUUUUAAUAUUUUUUUAAAUAAAAAUAAUUAAAAAACAACUACAAUAAAACUAUCAAACACCCCCUAAUAGAUUCAUACUUUCCACCGUGUGAACAUGUUGACAAUGGCUACGAGACAACAUAAAAAAAAUCGAAUCAGUCUUGUGUUCUUCGUCUUUCGCUCUUAUUUUUGUCCAAGUGCAUUCAUACUUUCCACCGUGUGAACACGCUGACAAAGGCUACGUACGAUACAAGAUAAAAAUCAAAUCAGUCCAGAAAUUAUUAGCUAAAGGUUGGGAAAAAAUUCAAAAGCAGCCGCCAGCCAAGCAAAUGCUAAAUCACUAGUAAAGUUAACCGAUCAGAAAUAUUUAUGGGACCAAGAAAUCUUUGCACGGUCUCAUUCUGGGACCAUAUACCAUGUAGCAUUCAAGACUCUUUUUUUUUUUUUUUUUAAAUAUAGCUAGAAAGAUAAAAAUAUUUAAAAAAUAAAACACUUUGAUUUAAUAUUUUAUAACCAUUUUUUUUAGUGUUAAAAUAUGGAUGGUCACAUAUUUUAUAUUUACUUUUUUUUUUAACCUUCUCUUUCCUUUCAAAUUAUAAUAACUAUCGAAACCUAACAUGAAACCUAGAAAGCAUAUAUAGGAACUAAAAGUUCAAAAAAAACUUUGGGAAUAAACUAUAAUUUUCCAUGCUUCAUAACCAAUAAAAAAAGAAAAAAAGGUUUUUUUGUUUGUGUCAAACUCAGUGUUGUAUAUAUAUUUUUUGAAUUGAUAAAAUUAAAUUAAGUUUUAUAAAAUUGAUGAUCAAUUUAAUGCCAUGAUAGUUUUUUUUAUAUCAUGAAUACAGCACCACAUGCAAACCAAGCCCAACUGUCAUGUUAAAAUUAUGUGAAGAGAAUGAAAUUGAAAAUAAUAAUAGUAAAAUGAAUCGGAAUUAGAUGCACUGACUGCAAAUAGGAUAAUUGUGCAUAAUUACUUGCUUUUCUAUCACUGUCACUGCAUAAAUUCCAGCUUUUCUGUUCAAAAAACUUCAGAUCUUUUGUCCAUGCAUGUAUUUGACGCUAAAAGUUAAUCAAUGGCUACAGGAAAAGCUUUUAUAUAUUAUGUGUGUGAUGAUUCACAAAAAAAAAACCAAUCCAGCAUAGUUCAAUAAAUAAUUGUUGCAUGCAGAUGAUAUAUUGAUUGGUAGUUGAAUUAGAGUAUUUUUCUUUCGAUAACUUUAGUGGAUUCACUUUUCUCCUUGCAUGCAUUGUUAAUUAACUUGGGCUCAAAAUAACUAGAUAUAUAAAAAGCUUUUUAAAAAACCCAUAAAACUAAAAAAAUUAAAGGUUUAAAAAAAACCUAGGAAAAGUCAGUAAAAUCCCAUAAAAACUCAAAAAAAAGCAAAACAAGUUUUGCUAGUUUUUGUUAAAAAAAACCAAACUAUCAUAACUUAAAGCUUUUUUAGUGAAAGGUUUCCUUUUUACGAUAUAGAAAAAGAAGGCAGAUAAAUAUAUACUCGAGUGAGUCACAUAUCAAGGACAAAACUUGAUUGAUCCUGUGCAUGGCCAUGAUAUUUUUUCUCUAAGACAAGACCGCUAAAAAGAAAUGGUACGAUAGAAGAAGUGGCCAUGGACAAUGAGGUAAGGGGAAAUGGCCGGCCAUGGACUACUAUAAAGUCCGAAUCAAGAUGUGAAAGAAAGGAAAGGUGGAAGAGAGCCCUCUGUCUUUUAGUGGUGAUAUUGGUAUUAGCAAGUUAGCCCACUACUAGCUACCGGUAAAUAUCUUUGCAUUCAAACUGCGAGAAUACUUGUCUAAAACGAUUACUUUUAGAAAGAUUACAGGCAUAUAUGGCUUCCAUACCAUUGGCUUAACACUAACAGCAUAGGUAAUGAAAUUGUGAAAAACAUUUAUAUAAAAAUUGAGUUUUUCAUGAUCGUUCUUGGUUGAUGGUGUGGUUGGGCUUUGUAGGUUCAUGAGCUUUUUUACAAAAUAAAACCCUUGUAAACAAUAAAAAACUCUUUGAUACUAAAAUUAGUAAGUAUAAGAGUGUAGAGUGUGCAGAGUUUUUGUGUGUAUAAUGGAAGAGACUAUUUUAGUUGUAUUUUUAGGACUUGUCUCUUGUAGAACUUGGCUCUAGCUUUGUGUGGCUUAAAACUGAUAUCUUGCAAGGCUAAAGCUUUCAAUGGCUAAGAGUAGCUUUAGCUUUCUAUAUAUAUUAUAUAUAUAUAUAUAUAUAUAUGGAGACUGGGUGUAGUCUGUGAACUUAUCUUAUGGAGAAAAAAAAUAUUUUCAUAGAAAAUUAAGUCAUUAGAUGAUGUGCCUUGCUUGUUAUUAGUGAAGAUAUUGGUGCCAAUAUUUUCUUACAGAUUUGUAAUGUGUUAUGGAGUUUUUUUUUUAUUUAUUUAAAUUACAUUCAUUCUUCAUAAAUUAUUGGAUAUCCCUUGGAUAUCAACCUUUUUAUCUCUCCUUUCAGGGCAUGAUAUUCUUUAAUAUCAUGAUUAAAGUCAUGAUGAAAAUGACAUAACUUGUUAAUGUUUUUUAUGUUAAUACCACUCUUCAUGAAAGAUGGAUAUCAUACAAAAUCUCUUCCCUAGAUGGAAUCCAACACCUAUGUAUGCAUAGUGGUGAAUGAUGCAUGUUAAGAAAUCAUAAAUGGAUCCCUUAUUACUUUUCUUUAAUGUCGUAGUAGAAGAUUGAUGAUAUUGUGGAGAUUCUACCCUCUAGAAAUAAAGGUAUUCUUAUACUGUCACACUUGCUUCCUCCAUCCAAAUAUGAUUUUUUAUUACAUGAUUUUUAUUGACAAAAAUUUUGUCAUAAAAAUUAUAGAAGCAUUCCCAUAAUGAAUAUUUAUAGAAUCCACUUAUUAGAGCCUAAGUGGCGAUAAGUUCACAUAGAUUAUUCGUAUUUACAAUUUAUUUGUUGAAUCUUUAAAUAUAUGCUUUGUGCUUUCAUUUUUUUAUUGUGUAAUGAUGAAGAGCUUAAUCGUGCUAUUUUUACUUGGUAUACUAGUGUUAAAAUAAAAGGUUAGCUUAAUAUACAAAUUAUAAAGAUCAAAUAUAAAGCCAAGAUUAAUAUUGUGAUACCAUAUCCGAGCAGGAUAUUUUAUUGGUCUGCUUGGAUAUGGUAUCACAAUAUAUAUUCUCAAAAAGCAUGCGAGCAAGAGUCAGAGAAAAUUGAUGGAGAUAGUUAUGUCUAAGAUAUGUUAUAGAGUAAUUUUUAUAACAAGAGUAAUUUUAUCAAAGAGUUGAAGUAUUGUGUAUACUUUACGUGUUAUUUUCAUAUUUCUUCAUGAAACUAGAGUUGUCUUUAUCUUUCGGUGCAUAUGAUGGAUCAAUAUGUUGUAAUUUUUUUUUUUUUAUGAAAUGGAAGAGUGUGAAGUUAUUAUUUUAUAACUAAAAUAAUAUUGUUGAGCACCUAUACUUGAUGGGUAGGUUUCUGAAGACUUGAAGUUCUUGUCGCACCCUCGCUAGAGCGCGGCAAUCCUUCCCGGGAGCGGGGAUUCAUGUCGGGGUCUUUGUUUUAUGAAAAAAGGACAUCGACACCAAUUUGUUUAUAGGAGGGGGCGAUAGGCAUCAAACUCGGAUUCAAGAAUGCCUAGCCUGCGCCGAGGAAGCCAACGUGAAAAAUUCGAGAUGCCUGCUAGAAAAUUUUAAACUGUAUUGAAAUUCUUAAAAUUGGCAAUAAAAAUUUAUGAUACAUAUAAAUUAGAGAAAAAAAUGUGACAAUUAGAUGCAUAAUAUUAAAGUGACUUAUUAUGUGUGAUAUGAAAAUCAGUUUAAUAACGUAACAAUUAUGUUCAAAUGUUAAACAAAUUCCUAGAGUUUUAAUUAAAAAAAAACAAUUAUAAUAUCAACAAUUAAAAAGAAACUAUUAUGAGCAUCAAAUAAAUAAAAAUCUCCAAAUAACUAAGAAACUAUUAACGUUAACCCUAUUUAUGACACUGAUGCAUACCAACCGUUCCUUUAAUUCUUGCCUUGGAUCCAAAGUCUAAAAUUUAAAUUUGACUGACAACCUUCGUGGAAAGUUCAAUUUUUGAAGUAGCUUGGCCUUCUUCGUGUAUUGCAGCUGCUCUUGAACAUAAAGACACUCGAAAUGAUUGUCCUAGCUUGUCUUCCUCGAGGUCAAUUUCUCUGCCCCACUUGCUUCUUUUCUGUCUCCACUCGUUUUUUUUUAUGGUUAGAGCUGGACCAUAAUCUCCUUAUCUUCAAGUCAGAUGCAUGAAACAUGUUUUUUUUUUUUUUUUUUUUUUUCCAGUUUAAAAUUAAAUUAUAUUCUCUAACAAUAGAAAAGAGAUUCCUUUUGGUUUUAUAUAUUUUUUAAAAAAGUUUUUUUAAAAAAUAGAUUAAAUUCAUAUGUAUUUUAGUGUUUUUUAAUGGUUUUGAUAUAUUAAUUUUAAAAAUAAAAAAAAUAUUAUUUUAAUAUAUUAAAAAAAACAUUUAAAAAUUUACCAUAGAUAUCAAACAUUCACCAAGUCUCAUGCAAUUUUAUCUAGUAGCUAAUUAAUGCAGCAACUUACCGGAUAGUACGUAACUUGUAAUAGUACAACCUCGAAAGUCGAAACACUUCAAAACUAAAAUACAUUGUUACAGUUGAAAAAACAAAAUACCAACUACAAGAAAAUAGACGACCUUGGUAUAAUUAAGGUGGUGACAGUGUAGACUAGCAAGAAGGGCUGGUUGAUAUUUCCUUUCUCUUGGCGUUGGGCCAAAUUUGAUUCUGUUUCUUGUAUCACCUUUGUCUUUGAAUUUGUAUCUUCUGGCUCAAAACGUAAAAAUGUUUUUGAAUUUUUUUUGUAUUUUUAAAUAAUUUUAAUGUAAUGAUAUAAUAAUAAUUUUAAAAAAUAAAUAAAUAUUUUUUUAAUAUAUUUUCAAAUAAAUAACAUUUAAAAAUCGAACCUCAAUAAAUAUCCUGUCCAUCUCCAGAGAAGCAACAGACCAAAUAAAUCAGCAGCUUGUGAUCAGUUGAGGAGUGUAACCUCUUACCUUUGAGCCACAGUGAUUUCUCCUGCCCUUUAUUUGGUUACAUUUCAUUUAGUCAAUUCUCUAAGCUACAAAAUGGAUUCUUCUGAGAAAAUGAAUAGCAUCGAUCCCUAUAUGGAUCCUGUCUUGUACAAAGCUGCGGAAGAAGGCAAUAUCGAUCCCUUUGAGAAUUAUCAAACCUGCCUCAAAGUAUUUUCAAACAAAAUAUAUAUUAAUUAAAAAUUUGAAAAUCAAAUUUUAUAUAACCAGCAAAUAAUAAGAUAUUUUUAAAUUUUUCAUAAUUUUUUAAAAGUAUUUUCUAUCCAAAAUAAAAUGAAAAUACUUUUUUAAAAAAUUAAGCUAAAUUGUUUUUACUGAAAAAUAUUUUCUUUUAAUCAAUAUUUUUAAUAAAAAAUAAACACAAAAAUAUUUAGAAAAUAGCAAUUAUCGAGAAUUUUUCUCAUCAGUACCUACACUCCAUCAAUAUACAAAUUACUCUUACAAGUUUAACGUCACAUGGUUAAAAGAGUCUCAGGGAACUUGCCAACAAUUUGUUUACUGGAGGGGGCGAUGGGCCUCAAACUCGGAUCCAAGGAUGCCUAGCCUGCGCCAAGUAAGCCGACGUGAAAAAUUCGAGAUGCCUGCUAGAAAAUUUUAACCUGUAUUGAAAUUAUUAAAAUUGGCAAUAAAAAUUUAUGAUAGAUAUAAAUUAGAGAAAAAAAUGUGACAACUAGAUGCAUAAUUUUAAAGUGACAUAUGAUGUGUGAUAUGAUAUUCAGUUUAAUAACCUAUGUUCAAAUGUUAAACAAAUUAAUUCCAAGAGUUUUAAUUAGAAAAAUAAUUAUAAUAUCAACAAUUAAAAAGAAACUAUUAUGUGCAUCAAAUAAAUAAAAAUCUCCAAAUAACUAAGAUAAAUACUUAAAACUCAUAAACUUGAAAUGUUAUGUGUGUGUGUGUGUGUGUGUGUGGAGGAUUUGGGGAUUUAUUGUGUUAUGCAAAAAAAACAAAAAAAGGUUUGUUUAAUUCAAAUUCAAAUAGUUGCUGUAUAAGUUGGAUGAUUAAUUACAAUAAAUUCAGAGGCAAAUCAGCCAGGUAUAUUCUUAAAUUCAAAGUGGCAGAAAAAUCUGAACCAAAUAAAAUGCCAACCAGAACAAAAUAGACUAGCAAGAAGGGGUGGUUGAAAUUUCCUUUCUCUUGGCGUUGGGACAAAUUUGAUUCUUUUUCUUGUAUCAAAUAGUUGCUGUAUAAGUUGGAGGAUCUGAUUUUAUGGUUGCUGAAGGUGCGUGCUAAAAACGCUACAAUUUUUUUUUUCUCUCUCAAAAUCUGAUCUAUUUUUUUCUUUUUUCUGUUUUCGGAGGUGGAUGGAGGCUAGUGUCUGAUACCUCAGCUCUUUAACUCAGCUCAAGGUCCUUCCUUUGACCAAGUCCAAGAGAGGUUUGUUGGGACCCUUAAACUGGAUUCAUCAAUACUCAUCUUUAUGAGUCUUUUCUGUCCUCUUUUUUCUUAUGGUUAAAGCUAGACAACAAUCUCCUUAUCUUCAAGUCAAGAUGUUUUAACCAUGUUUUUUCAAAUUUUUAUUUUUUUCAUUUUGGAAAUUAAAUUAUAUUUAAUGUUUUUGAAUUAUUUUAAUAUGCUGCUAUUAAAAUUAAAUUUUAAAAAUAAUAAAAAAUAUUAUUUUAAUAUAUUUUAAAAAUACUGCAAAAACAUGUGAAGUAUUAAAAAAAUAAAAUUCUAUGAUCUUUUAACAGUUAUUCAACAACUAAUCACUAAUAAUUAUUUGGUUUUAAUACCAAUUAAUGCAAACAGAAGUGAAAAAUAAUAAAGUUUGUUACAAGUCAAAACUUUCAAAGAUCAAGAAUACUAUAAUUAUAGAGAAACUUUUAAAAUACUUAAUUUUAUUUAUUCAUAUUGUCUCACUUAUCAAAAAGCUAUUUUAAAGAAAAUAAAAAAAAAACCCUAAUAAUAUUGAAUAUGAAAAAUAAAAUAAAAUAAACUAUUCUCUUUUCUUCAAGUAGAAAAAAAAACUAGAAAAGGUUAAUAAUAAAAAAAACUUCUUAAGAAAAAUAUUUAUUUUCUAAAGCAACUCAUGCAUAAAAUUUCAAUUUGUCUACCUUAAUAAAUUUUUUAUUUUAGUUUUCAAGUAACCACAUUACGAGGGAUGAUAGCUCGAAUACUUGAUAACCUACCAUACCAUGAUUCGUUGAGCUAUUGGCCAGAAAACACGAUAGUUGGUCCACGCAUAAGAGCGAUUAUUUGCAUUAAACAUCUUAAUUUGUUUUAUUCUAAGAUAAUAUAUAUGUGCGUUAUUAUAACCUCUUUAACUUAUAAAUAUAUAUAACCAUAUACCAAAUCAGCUUUGCAACUUAAACUCACCAUGACGAAUUCAAUUGUACAAAUGAAUUUCUCCUCAUCAAUACCUUAUCUCUUUCCCCUCUUCACGACUAUGACGGCUACUGUUUUGCCUUGACAGUGUUACCAAUGGAGAGAUCACAUUAAGCAAAUUAGUAUGCAAGAGAGACUCAAUCAACUCUUAAAUUAUCACAGGGACUUGAACAACUAACUGGUUAUAUUACAAGGAUGGCACUGAUUAUUAACCCAAUUUCACUCUUGUAUAUAGUACCUCCCUCAUCUUUAUCUUUCAAGCGUCAUCUUCUCAAAAUAUGGCUCAAUCUCAUUCUGUAAAAGUCAUCGAUCGUGUCCAAGUCUCGCCACCACCAGGCUCAGUAUCCACCACCUAUCUCCCUCUCACUUUCUUCGACUUUCCAUGGCUUCUCUGCCCUCCCAUGGAACGCCUUUUCUUCUAUGAACUUCCUUACCCUACUCUUUACUUCAUGCACAACAUCUUGCCUAGCCUUAAAAACUCUCUUUCCCUUGCUCUUCAACACUUUUUCCCUCUUGCCUCCAAUCUUAUGUGCCCACAAGCACCUCAUAAACCCUAUAUCCUCUUCAAUGAUGGGGACUCAAUCCCAUUCACAAUUGUUGAGUCAACGAUGGAUUUUGACCAAAUCAUCGGAGACCAGGCUGGAGAUGUGACAGAACUGCACACUUUUGUCCCUAAGUGGCCUCCCACACGCGUGACAUCAGAUGGCAAACGUGUGGUGCCACUUCUUUCCUUGCAAGUAGUUGUGUUUCCAAAUUCAGGUAUUUGCAUGGGUGCCAAAUUUUGCCAUGUGGUAGCUGAUGGGAUGGCUUUUAACCAUUUCAUGAAAUCUUGGGCGUCCAUUUUUAGGUCCAGAGAAAACAUGGCUUGCCUUGAAAAGUCAAUGCUGCCGUCUCAUGACAGGUCGGGGAUCAAAGACCCAUUCGAGCUUGAUUCCAUUUUUUCAAAGGAGUGGUGGAGUUGGUUUUCAUCUCGGGAUUAUAAUUUGGGAUCAAACCACGAUGAUCAACUUAGAGACAAGGUUAGGGUCACGUUUACGAUAGGCCAAACGCACAUUGAGAGGCUGAAAGAUCUGGUCUCCAUUCAAUGCAUGAAAAACUAUCAAGAGCAAGUGCAUGUAUCAGCGUUUGUGGUAGCAUGUGCCUUUAUAUGGGUUAAUAUGAUCAAGUCACAAGAGAAGGAGGCAAGUGAUUUAGUUGAUAAUGACAAGGUUUACUACUUCGUUUUUGUGGCAGAUUGUAGACACCGUCUUGAAGUUAAACUACCAGCAACAUAUUUUGGAAACUCUCUAGCAAUAUGUUAUGUUCCUGCAAAGAAGAGUGAGUUACUUGGAGAAAAUGGGAUCAUCAUGGCAGCUAGAGAAAUUGGUAAGAAGGUCAAGGAAUUGGAGAGUGGGGUUUUUGUGGGGGCAGAGAAAUGGAUAUCAAACUGGAAAGAAGUGUCUGAACAUGGCAGGCUAGUUACUGUUGCUGGGUCACCUAAGUUACGUGCUUACGAGACAGAUUUUGGGUGGGGGAGGCCGAAAAAGACUGAGGUUCUCCAUGUUUAUGCUUCAGGUGGUUUCCAUCUUUGUGAAUGUAGAGAUGGAGGAGGUGGAGUUGAGAUUGGCUUGGCACUUCCUCAGGGUCAAAUGGAUGUCUUCUGUGGCAUCUUUGAACAAGGUAAGCGGAAUCUGAUUUGAGUGUGGCUUCUUGUCUACUUAAGAAAUUCGCAACACGCUGUACUUUAUGUUAAGGAAAUAAAGAGCAAAGCCAAGAAACGAAUAAAUUUAUAUGUGUUUACCACUUGUUUAUAUAUAUAUUUAAAAAAAAAAAUUGAUUCAAAACCGGAAAUACUCAGCCUUAUUUUACAGCUGUGUGCACGUACAGCCAGGAAAUUCAAAUCCCAUUCUUGCACGGAGAAAUUUCCUUGAUCAUCUCAUUCAUCAAAACUUUAUAAUUUUUUCCGUGCUCUUUAUAAUUUUUUUUUUGGACGCAUAGAAAAUUCAGAAGAUUGCUAAGCUUGUUAGGAUAAUUUGGACCAGAGAAUGGAAAGAACGAAUUGCUGCUGCGGGCUGUGGGAAGUCUGUGUUUGAUAUUAUAACACAGGAAAUUUUUUUGAAAAUAUUUUUUAUUUAAAACAUAUUAAAACAAUUUUUUUAAUAUUUUUACUUUAACGCAUUAAAACUAUCAAAAAUAAAAAUCAGAAAAUAAUUACUUAGCCAUCAAACUACUGUUAGUCAUCAACAGUUGAAUAAAUGAACCUUGUAAUGGGAUGAAAUAAUUGACUAAUGAUAGUGUAUUAAAAUGAAGCCAAAGGACAUCUGUUAAGCAACUAUGAGGGCUACUGUUUUUCCUUGAUGGUUUUAACAGUGGAGGGACUAUAUUAAGCAAAUUAGUAUAGUAUAGGGACUCAAUCAACUAUGAAAUUAGUAGAGCGACUAGAUUGUACGAGGCUAUGUUAGAAGGAUGUCAAUCCAUCGUCAGUAUCUCAUCUCUUUCCUCUUCGCAAAAAAUGGCUCAUUCUCAUCCUACUUUGGUUUCCUAAGUAGACAUGAAGAAUGGUGUUCUCGUCUGGAGUCAAUAACUGAUUGAGGCAGCUUUGAUAAUUCUCAAAGGGAUCGAUAUCGCCUGCUUCCGCAGCUUUGAACAAGACAGGAUCCAUAUAGGGCGUCAUGCUAUUUUAUAGCUUAGAGAAACUCACUAAAUGAAAAGUAAACAAAUGAAGGGGAGGUGAAAUUAACCACUGUGGCUUAAAGGCAAUUAAGAGGUUCCACUCCUCAACUGAUCACAAUCUGCUGAUUUCUUCGGUAUUUAAAGGAAGAAAAAGCGUUAAUAACCACAAAUUACAUUUAUUUUGUAGCUUAGAGAAACUAACUAAAUGAAAUGUAAGCAAAUGAAGGGGAGGUGAAACCACAAAGGUAAGAGGUUCCACUCCUCAACUGAUCACAAAGGUAAGAGGUUCCACUCCUCAGACCUGAUUUAAAAUCAAAAACUAUUUUACAUUUUGAGCAGAAACGCGGAUUAUAGUGUUUGGUUUUUUUAAAAAAAGAAGCUUAAGUUAGUUUUUAAUUGUGGGGGCACACCAAAAGCAUCCUUUACAAGUUUUUUUUUUUUUAAUACUUCACAUGUUUUUGCAGUAUUUUGAAAUAUAUUAAAAUAAUAUUUUUUAUUAUUUUUAAAAUUUAAUUUUAAUAGCAGCAUAUUAAAAAAUUCAAAAACAUUAAAUAUAAUUUAAUUUCAAAAUAAAAAAAUAAAAAUUUGAAAAAACAUGGUUAAAACAUCUUGAACUUGAAGAUAAGGAGAUUGUUGUCUAGCUUUAACCAUAAGAAAAAAGAGGACAGAAAAGACUCAUAAAGAUGAGUAUUGAUGAAUCCAGUUUAAGGGUCCCAACAAACCUCUCUUGGACUUGGUCAAAGGAAGGACCUUGAGCUGAGUUAAAGAGCUGAGGUAUCAGACACUAGCCUCCAUCCACAUCCGAAAACAGAAAAAAGAAAAAAAUAGAUCAGAUUUUGAGAGAGAAAAAAAAAAUUGUAGCGUUUUUAGCACGCACCUUCAGCAACCAUAAAAUCAGAUCCUCCAACUUAUACAGCAACUAUUUGAUACAAGAAAAAGAAUCAAAUUUGUCCCAACGCCAAGAGAAAGGAAAUUUCAACCACCCCUUCUUGCUAGUCUAUUUUGUUCUGGUUGGCAUUUUAUUUGGUUCAGAUUUUUCUGCCACUUUGAAUUUAAGAAUAUACCUGGCUGAUUUGCCUCUGAAUUUAUUGUAAUUAAUCAUCCAACUUAUACAGCAACUAUUUGAAUUUGAAUUAAACAAACCUUUUUUUGUUUUUUUUGCAUAACACAAUAAAUCCCCAAAUCCUCCACACACACACACACACAUAUAUUACAUUUCAAGUUUAUGAGUUUUAAGUAUUUAUCUUAGUUAUUUGGAGAUUUUUAUUUAUUUGAUGCACAUAAUAGUUUCUUUUUAAUUGUUGAUAUUAUAAUUAUUUUUCUAAUUAAAACUCUUGGAAUUAAUUUGUUUAACAUUUGAACAUAGGUUAUUAAACUGAAUAUCAUAUCACACAUCAUAUGUCACUUUAAAAUUAUGCAUCUAGUUGUCACAUUUUUUUCUCUAAUUUAUAUCUAUCAUAAAUUUUUAUUGCCAAUUUUAAUAAUUUCAAUACAGGUUAAAAUUUUCUAGCAGGCAUCUCGAAUUUUUCACGUCGGCUUACUUGGCGCAGGCUAGGCAUCCUUGGAUCCGAGUUUGAGGCCCAUCGCCCCCUCCUGUAAACAAAUUGUUGGCAAGUUCCCUGAGACUCUUUUAACCAUGUGACGUUAACAGAGAAUAAUAGCAGUAAUAAUAUCAUUAAUAGUAACCUUAUUAAUAAGUUAAAUGUUGAGUACUGAGAGAAUAUGAAAUGUGUUUAACAAAAAAAAAGUUAAUUUGGACUACGCUGAUCAUUUUGACUACAAGCUUAAGAUUAUCACAAGCGUAUAAUUGUUCAAGGGUUAUAUGAAUAGAUCACAUGUUGAUGAAGUAAGUUUGAGGCUUACAAUUCAUUGCUUUAAAAUCUAAUGGAAGAGAAAUAAUUUGUUAAUUUUUUUAUAAUGCAAAUUUUUAUAUAAAAAACUGGAGUUGAUAUUUAAAAUUGUUAUACACAUAAAAUAAAGAAGAAAAAAAAAGGAUUGGAGAGCUUUAAUUGGACAUCCAAGAGAUCAAGGAAUGAAUACAUUGAACUAGAUGAUGAGUUAUUUCCAACACGAGAAAACUGUUUAAUUUUUUAAAAAAAAAGUUUUUGUUUUUUUUUGUUUAGUUUAGAGAAUUAAAUAUUAUGCUUAAUAAUUUUAUUUUUUUCUGUAUAGGGAAUCCUAUAAUAACUCUAUAGUUAUUUAUUAGUAUUUGUUAGGUAAAACUAGAACUAGUAUACAUAUUUUUAUUUGACUUGUAUUUUAGAAGACACACUUGAAAAUAAAUAUCUAAUAAUAAAAUUUUAAAUUUGAAUUUUUAUGCCGUAACCUUAUUAGGCAAAAUUUUGUGUUGUUUAUUAUGUUAUUUUUUUACACAUCAUUUGAUAUCAGAGUCUAACAAUUUCUAAUGGUUGGUUGUUGUUUGAUGAUGAAUAACCAUGGUCGUAAGAGAUCAAAAAAAUAAGAUGUGAUUAUGUAAGAAAGAAUGAGAAAAUCUCUUUCAAGAAAAAAAAACAUUUAGGAGCUAAUAUGUUGUUUUUGUCAACAUUAAUUGUUGUUAUUGAAAAUCAUGGUGAUGAGAUUCAUGAUGUGGUGGCUUGCACAAAGAUAGUGUGUUAGAGAUCUCAAAUAAAGUGAUACGCAUAAAGAUGUUGUGUCAGAAAUCCAUGAUGGGAAAACUCAAAUAAAGCUUAUAACGUAAUUUAGUCAUUUUGUAAUACUUUAAAAAAUAAAUAUCUAAAAAAACCCAUAAAUACAAGUGAAAUAAAUUCUGCUUUGAAGAGCAAGUUAAUCAUUUUAUUAUGCACUAAAAAUAUAAAAGGAUCAUUUUAACCACGAUCAAUUUUAUAAUGACAAAUGAAUCUCGUGAAAGGACUAUUUUUUCCAUAAAUCCCAAUUCAUUGGUUUUUGCUGUAAAGGGAAAAAUCAUCAUUGUAUUGUUUCAAUCCAUAAUGCAAUGAGUCUAUCUCUAUCGUGAAACACUAGUCUCUUUUUGGUUUUUUUUUUUUUAAUAUUUGUAAGUUAAAGAACAUAUAAAAAAAAAUACAUGUUAUUAAAUAAUAAAAGAUGUUUCUUCUCUUAUAAUCAGAUUUUAAACAAUACAACAAGAUUGAAAAAAAUAAAAUUAUGAUGGAUAGUAAGGUAGACGGAAGCCAAAAAAGAAAAGAAAAGAAUGUAAGUAAGAAAAACAAAAUUUAGAUAUAUUGUACAACAUGCUUGAUGCAAAUAAACAUUCUCAUGUGUGAACUAACUAUCGUGACUUUUAUCAUGGUUUGGUAGGAUUCUCAUGGAUUUGAGUGAUCAUCACUUCCAUUGUUAUCAGACAAAUUGGAAUUGCAUUCAAAUUCGAUACUCUUUAAUUCAUUUGAUCUCAUUAUUUUGUCUCUGAAAUGGCUGCUCACACUAGCCGCCAGUAAUGAUUGAUGUCCUUCUUGUUUAAAAAUGUAUUAAAAAUAAUAAUUUAAAAUUAUAAAAAAAUUAUUUUUUUUCUAAAAAACAUGAUAAACCGCUCCCAGACAGGUUGAAAUCCAGGACUAAACAACCUCUAAAUCAUCAUAAUUGACACAAAGGACAAAGUUGUUAAUGAGAAAGAUUUUGUACAUUGGAGUGGAGCGGAGAUAAUUUGCUGCAGCUGAUACUUUGAAUCAACAUCCCAAUUACAGUUAAAAUUGGGUCAUGAUUUCUAUCCCAUGUUCAACUUGUAUCUCAUCACGUUUAAUUCAGUCUCAUCUAAUUAGGUCAAUUCUUCGGCCAGAAUGUUAAGAAAAUCAAACCAAAGUUUAUCUGAUUUUCCAGGUAGAUCAUCCCGCUAUCCUAUCAAUUUGAUUUUCCGGGUAGAUCAUCCAAUUAGACUAAUGCAUAGUUAUGGUUCUGUUCCUGUAUUGUGUUUUAAUCACCAGUGGAACAAAUUAAUAUCCCAUACCAUCUUUGGUGAGUCUCUAAAAUGAUAAGCUAUAUAUGUUUAAAUAAAAAUUUUGAAUAAUUUGUUCUUGUAACAUUACUCAAACAGUUGAUGAUGGCAUCAAUCUCCAAGAAAUGGUGGGUUUUUUCCCCUUUUAAUGCAAAAGGGAAGUUUAAUAGAUGAACAGCAAUCCAAAGACAGUAUGUUGAUGCACACAGAUAUAUUGGCAACGGAGUAUUUAAUAGAAGGAAACAUUUGUGGUACAAAAAAUAAAAAAUAAAAUUGUUUGGAAUAGAAGAAACGAGUAUAUAAACAUGGGAAACAAAGGGGAAACGUAUCUUGAUCACCAUAUCCAAAACAGCAGACUUAAGAAUGCAAAUCCAUAAGCUGUCAUAUGGUUUGCUGAAACAGUGAAGUCUUUCAAGUGUACCUUAAAAGAGAGAGGAAUGACGAUAGCGGAGACUCAUAUAAUUUGAUCUGUGAGGUGAGAGCUGAUUGAACUACUGUCCUACAAAUUGAGGCUCUCCCAAACAUUUUGUUACAGUCUCACUAGCCUUCUGUGAUUCUGCACGUUCCUCUUGUUUCUUCUUUUCCCUGAAAUUCAAAAUCAAUUUAGAAAAAAACAUCACGCAAAUGAUGGAACAGACAAAAAAAAAAAGCAGAACGCCAAAAUCUAUCCGGAAGGAAAAUAAGUAUACACUCAAUUAUGACAAGAGUUGGAACUCUGCAAACUGCAAUCAAUUUUAAACGUUAUGGGCAUUUAAAGAACAUAUUGCAUGGCUCAUCAUGGAUAUCACAGCAAGUUCACAAGUAGAUUUUGGAUUAUAUAACCAUGCACUCUGAUUAAACAUUAACUGUUUUAAGUUUAAUGAAUUAAGAUUUUUUUCCCACUUGUCUGACACUUACAGUUACCGACUCAAAGGAAGUUCUGUACAUGUUAUUUUUGAUACUCCCAUUUUGAGAGGUUGCAUACCAACACUCUAACAGCUAACAGGUGCAGUUCAGAAUGAUGCACAAUUAUGUUUCUGUUUCUGUAUCAUGUAAUAAUCACUAGUGGAAUAAAUUACUGUCCCCUGCCAUUUUUUUUUAAGUAAAGUAAACUGCAUAUAGACAGGAGAUAGAUCUUUACCUAUCUACAUACUCCUUCAGCAACUCUCUUGCUUGAACCAAUUUAGAAAGAAGGCCCCGGUAUACAUCAAGGUCCCGAUCCACACUUCUUUUAUUGAUGUUUAGUGCUGAACAAAGCUUUUGCAUGAAAAUUAAAGAUAAAUGUCAAACUAUCGAGCAAAAAUCUUUGAUACAUAAAGUAAUCAUUGAGGUCUUGAAGCUAUCCAAAUUCGAAAUCUUAAGCACUUAAAUUAAAUUUGGAAAACUCAAGUCCAAGAUCUCUUUGAAUUAGAAAUCCUGCAUACAUCAUAUCUUGUUCAAGGAACUGAAUCGUCAAUAAAAAAAAAUAAGAAGAAAAAAGAUACGAAUGGACAAGUGAUGGAGGGAUAUGAAUUUGGAUACACUUGUCCAUCUGUCAAGAGAAUUGGAACAGGAUUGAAGAUCUCCUGUGAAGAAAUAGGUAUUCUUCCACUUUCAUAAGUGAGAUGUCAUGGUUGUUGUAUCUAUGCACUAAGGAAGCAUAUGGAGUUCUUGAGCUCGUGGAAGGAAUCUCAGAUAUAUAUCCAUCUUCUCCAAAGUUCUUGCCACAACUAGAUACUCUAGAGGAAAAUCCUUGGUCUUGGAUUUGAGGGUAAAAUGGGCCAGGUUAUUAGGAACAGAAAAUUUUCUGGAUUUGAUGAACUAAAACACAUUCAAAACAAUGAAAAUCACUAGAAACAAAGAUUUAAAAACUUUGUAAGGCACUCAAUACAUUACAUGGAUUGCAAUAGAGAAGGAAUGCAACAACCUACCUUUUCUAGUACUGUCGGUUCACUAGCAUUUGACAGCUCAAGAAGGCGAAAUAACCCAACAGCAAAGAAACGGCUGUAGCUGAAAUUCCCACUCGCAACUCUUUCUGCAAUGUCCUUUAAUGUCCCCUCAAUUUCUCCUUCCUUGGAUGAAAAGUCAACUAAUGAACUAGGAGUCUGAGCCCGAGCCCAUUCUUCAAGCUUUUUUGCAUCUAUUCUGUAGGCCAUAACAUACAGAACUAAUCAACCCAAAUGGUGAUUAAAGUCAAAUAGAAAGGGCAUUUUUAGAUCCUGUUCAAUGAAACUAUCAAGCGCCAAUGAAAAUAAUUGUGCAAUUCAAAUUUUGCAGAAAUAUGGAGUAGCAAUUAUAUUCUUUCAAUUUUUUGUUAUGCGUGGUAAUGAAGGAAAAAGGGAGAAAAAGUUGACCACCAAUAUAUGAAAAUCUUAACAGAACUAAGAAUCUCCAAUUUUUCUGAGCAUCUGGCUAAGUACACUUUUCGAAUGUUUAAGUUUCUACUAUUUAUCAAUCUUUAUGGUUGCAAAUAUUUCCUUUUCAUUUCACUUAGUCAAAGAAACUCAAAUGAUCUAUAUAUAAAAGUAACAAUGACGAUAACGCAUUUUUCUUGGGAAAACUACUUGUAAAUUGUGCAUAGAACAGAAAGGUUUUCCUUCUUCUUUUUUUCUUCAUAACCAUCAAUGACAACCACCUAAACAUUAUUCUUCCAAACAUCCAGCAAUUACUAUAGUCUCUCAUUCUGCAUAAACAGGUUUUUUUUUUUUGUUAUGAUUUUUGGUAUAAAGAACAAAAACCAAUAUUCAAUGAUAACCGAUGCUUUCUUAUUCCUCAUGCAACGCAAUAUCAAAUGUCAGAUUCAGAUGCAAUACACUUGGUAAAGAAAAACUGUCAUAAAGCAUUAACAACCACUACUUCCAUCAAUUCCUCUACAAAAACUAAAUCUAAAUCACGAAAUUGAAAUAACAAAAAGAUUUCCUGUAAAAAGACAGAAAAACUAAGAAGACAAACCUGUAUUGCUCCGGAUCCUCCUCCAAUGCCUUAAUGUAAGCCUGAAAAAUGGCCUCUCGAUCCUCAUCACUCGGAUACCCUUCCAUGAGUUGAUCAUACACAGUAACAAAACCAAGACCAAACACAGGAUCGUAACGGUAAGUCUUCUUAUACUUCAUCAAAUGUUGUUGCACUAUCAACUCCUGCAGAACCGUGUUAUAGAUACUCGGGAUCGGUCUCUUAUAAGCCUUCAAGAAAUUCAACUUGGUAUCAGCUACCGUUGGUGGCACAUCUGAAAAUUAACCCAAUUCAUCAAACAAAUCAGUACCACCAAAUCCACACACUACUUUACACAAUUUAAACCAUAAACAAAAUAAUGAAUACGAAAAAAAACAAAUCUAUGACCUCAAAUUCUACCGUACUACUGGCCAGCAUUGCAAAAUUCAGAUGCUAAACUUCAGCUUUAUUACUUAAAAAAAUAUAAUAAAAGUUUUAGUCUUGACUGGCUGACGCACAAGCUGUCUCGAUGACAUUCCUUUCCAUCAAAAAAAAAAAAAACUUUAUUAAUAGUUCCAAAUGAAGAAUUAAUUUUUGAAGAAAAAAAAACUAAAGCUUACUUCAUCAUUAAUUUUGUGAUUAAGCUAAUAGCAAAAUUAGUUAUUUUCAAAAUCUAAAUAGAAAUUUUCACUGUAAUUAUUCAUAAAAUAAAUAAAUCACACUGAUUCCUCAACAAAGUUAAACAAAAAAUAGGAAUCGCAAAAAUCAUUCUAUAAUAAAAAAAUUAAAUAAUAAAACCCUAAACCUCUUAAUUACACUAACUUUCUAAGACUUUUAUUUCUAUUUUCUCUCACUUUCUCAACAACCAGACACAAAAAAGAAAGACGAAUAUCUAAAAAAUAUCAACAAAGAUUUUUUCUUUUACCAGUAGAAGUGGACAUGCAAUGGAUAACCAUACGGGAAGUCGAAUUCGAAGCUCUAACGCCGACAUAAUGACACGAAAAACUGGACCUAAACCGGGAGCCUUCAAAACCUAAAUUACGCGCUACUGUACAGAAAGCCCUUCUGUCGCUCGAAGAUUGGGAAAUUGCAGAGAAUGAUACUGAAGUAACGGCAGCCAUUGUGGUUGGAUGGAGAGAAAAUGAGAGUGAAUUUUCCGGGAAAAUUUUGAUUUCUUUUUUUUAAGUUAUAGGGAAGGAAGAGAGAAAAUUGAUUUGAAUUUUUUUUUUCUUUUUCUUAUUGGUGUGUUUGGAUCGAGAGAAAAGGAGAGAAAGUGAGAGGUUGGAAAUUUAAAGAGAGGAUUAUCCGUUAUUUUUCGUAAGAACAAAUUGGAUUAUUUUGAUUUUUAGAGGGAACCAGUGAUGUUUUGACACGUAAGUUUUAUGGGUUAUUGGGACUUUUGUAAAUUUUGUAAGAAUUUGUGGUUAUGGUUUGACAGGGUACUAGGUUCAUUUUGAAAGUUUUUGAAAGAAAUUAAGUUUUAUUUUCAAUCUAAUAUAUUUUUUAUAUUUUUAUAUUAUUUUAAUGUAUUAAUAUGAAAAAUAAUUUUAAAAAAAUAAAAAAAAUUAUUUUAAUGUGUUUAUAGAAUAAAAAACACUUUAAAAAAUAAUCAUUACUACAAUAUUAAAAAAAUAAUAAAAGAUAGGUUAUGGAAAUUUGGAUUUUCUAUUCUUUUAUUUAUUUAUUUUUAAUUUAAUUUAUUUAAAUCAACAUGUGAAUUUAUAAUUUUAAAGGGUUUAUACUGGGAUAAAACUUAAAACUAAGAUCUAUUUAUAAGUAUAUGAUUCGCUUAGAUUUAAUAUAUAGUUUAAAGUGAUAUUUUUUGUUUGGUUCGGUUUUUAUAUAUAAAAAAAAUAAUCAAACCAAUUUUUAUUAAAAAAAUCAAAACCGGUUCAAACUGACCGGUUUCAGUUCAAUUCGGUUUGAUUCAUUUAUUUUAGAAUAAAAACCAGUUUUUUUGGUUUGGCUCGGUUUUUUCCAGUUUGGCUCGAUUUUGACUUUUUUUUCGAUUUAGUUUAGUUUUUUUUGUUUGGAUCGGGUUUUUUUUAAUUUGACUAGGUUUAUUUUGUUUUUUCAGUUUGGGUUCAAUUUAGUUUUUUCAGUUUCAAACUUAUAAAACCAAAUCGGUCGGUUUGUUAAAAUUCUACUCGAUUUAAUCAAAUUUUUUUAUUGUUCUAUUUUUUCGGUUAUUUUUUUUCAGAUUUUUUAAUUUAAUUGAUUUUUUAAUUUUUUUUCUCUAGUAUAGUUAUUAAAUUUAAUUUGAUUUGACAAAUCAAUUUGUCAAAAUUUAGCUAAAGUUUUUUUUUUCAACAAGGGUGGAUACUAAUUAAUUUUAAAAAAAAAAUUUUAUUUUGGUUUGAUUUUAUUAGAUUAGUUCUUAAUAAUUCGUUUUUUAUAUUUCAUUUCUUAUUAUUUUUUAAUUUAUAAAUAAUUUAUUAUAUUAUAAAUGAUAAUUUCAUUUUUAUAAUUUUUUAAUCUUUAAAGUUUAAUUCUAAUUUUUUUAAUUGUAAUUUUUUUGGUUUGCGAUGAAUCCAAUUUUGAUGUUGUUGGGUCCGAAAGAAUUUUCUGUAAUUUGGACUGGACAUCGGCCGAAGUAUUGUCCGUGAACAGCUCUAGUGGGUUCGCUCUAUUAUCUUUGGGCUUGUAGCCCUUUCUUGUCUCCGAGGCUUCAUCUGUUCAGUUGCUUUUCUGUACUUGGGCACCAUGCUUACUCGUGCCAGGAGAGUAUUUUGUUUUUGAGAUAGUUUUUGUAAUUAUAAUUUUAAAAAAUAAAUUAAAAAAAAUAUGAUUAAUUUAGAUUAGUUGGAUUUAGAUAUGUAUUUGAUAAAAAAUAUUAUUGAAAUUUAUAUAUAACAAAAAAUAUUUAUAAAAUAUUUGGUAGUUAUGUGAUUCUGGUUACUUUUUAAAAGUGUUUUUUUAUUUAAAAGUAUAUUAAAAUAAUAUAUUUUUAUUUUUAAAAUUUUAUUUUUAAUAUCAGCUCAUCAAAAUAAUCUAAAAACACUAAAAUAUAUUAAUUUAAAAAAAUUAAAUUUUUUUUAAAAUAUUUUUAAAACAUAAAAUUAAAUAAUAUUUUAUAAAACUCUUCGUAUAAAAUGCCGUUCGGACUCAGACUCAGUUAUGCAGUACAAAACAUAAUUUUGACAGUUAUCAUAUUUUUUACAUUGUUGAGCUGAUGUCUCAUAGGUCCAAGUCAAUUAUGAUGGUCAUGGAACAUUGAAUUGCUGUGUGUGAGUUAGAGAAACAGCCUUUUCGCUCACGAGUCUUUUCACUCAUAAUGCCAAAACUGAGAGGUACAUGCAUAGUUUCCAUUGUUGCUGUUUUCUUCUUCUUCUUUUUCAUCUUGGCAGGGACUGCAUGGGUGCUUGUACAGAAGCAGAUGCGCCUUUUCCAUGAAAAGCAAUGAUCAUUUAUUAUUGGAACGGUGUGUUUGAUAGUGUGAUAAUAAUUGUUUUUUAAAUAAUUUUUUGUGUUAAAAUAUAUAUUAAUGAUGUUUUUUUUAUUUUUAAAAAAUUAUUUUUGAUAUCAACACAUCAAAACGAUCCAAAAAAUACAAAUCACAUUAAAUUUUUUAAAAAAAAAAAUUUAAAUUUUUUGGGAACGCAAUUUCAACCGUAUUCCAAGUAUUCCAAAAGGCUACCUAACUAAUCAAUUGCUUGCUGUUUUGAUGUUAUAUAUAUAUAUAUAUAUAUAUAUGAACAUACUUUUAUACACAGUAAACGAGUGGGUAGCUAUACAUUACAGGGGAGAACUCAUGAUUCCGAAUUAAUCUCAUAUUUAUAUAAUAUAAAUGAUAAAAAUGAAAAAUAACCCGCGGGUAAUACAGGAAACAAUAGUAAUAAAGAUAUAAAAUUUACAAAACAAAAGGGGGGAAAGCAGUCAAAUUGUAGCUUGCAGUCAGGGCUUCUCAUGAUGACGUGUCGAUCUUAUCCAAGUGACUUUGAACGUGCCUAGGCUAUCCAUUGAUUCACAUGGUUAUAUGCCUUCUGCUCCAAUGACCAUGGAAGUAACAUGCUCCCUAUCUUUUCAUAUUCAGCAACAAUCUUACCGUACAGAUUUCAACUAUAAAGGAAGAGAAAAACAAAUGUCCAGUACAGUAGUUGAAGAGACAGAAACACUGUAUAACUGUGAGUGUUUGAUUGAUUGAAAUUAUUUUUUAAAUUAUUUUUAAUUUUAAAAUAUAUUAAAAUAAUAAUAAAAAAUUUAAUUUAAAACAAAAAAAUAUAUAAAAAAAUUUUUUAAAUGAAAAAAAAAAGUCAUAGAAAAAAGCCUAUUUUUUUGUUUUUAGCACAUUUUUCCAAAAAAAAAAAUAUAGCCCCAAACAAACAAAAUAGUACCAUUUAUAAAUAUCAUGAUUAAAAAACGUAAUUUUUAUAACUUACGUUAUUUAGGAUAGUAAUAUUCUAUAGGAGGGAGCCACUAAGACAGAAAAAAAAAAUCAAUACACACCAUAGCUUUGAUUACAAAAUACCAAUAUUAUUUAAAAAAAUCUUAAUAAAAAAAAUUUAACAUAGAUAUAAUCCAAAUGAGUCAUAUUUGUCUUCCAAAACUAACCUACUUUGAUGAUAAAUAUGGUUCACUUGAGUUAUUAUUGGUGAUUUUUUUUUUUAUCGUUAGAAUUAUAUUAUUAAAUUUUUUUUAAUAAUAUUUAUGGUGUUGUAAUCCGAAUUUUGAUAUGUUUUUGAGAUUUUUUUUCUUGCAUCUAUCUUCUCUCCGUCUCAUAAUUUUUUAAAGUAUAUCAUUAUUUUAUGCUAUAAAAGUUAUAUUUUUCAAUCAUGAUAUGUAGAGAGUGUAUUAUUUUAUCAAUUAAUUUUUCAACCAUGCUAUCCUGCUAAUAUUCUUAAUUAACUGUUCUGAUUUAAAAAUAAACAAAAAGAAAAGAACCAUGUCAUUGAUUCAUCUAUGAAUCCAUAAAUUAUUAGAUUAAUUAAAGUUUAUUGUUUUUAUUAAAAUGAUAGCAUUUUAAUUUUAUUUUUCAUAUUAACUUUAAGGUAGUUUAGUUUUACCGAGUUAAUAUAGUACCGAAUUAAAAUCUACGUCAAAUAAAGUAAUGGAUGGUCUGAGAGACAUCUCUGGUAAAAAGAGGGAGGUGUAACAGUGAGGGAAGAUCUUAAGAUGGAGAUUUUAUGUCAAGUCAUGCCUCUCUAUAGACAUGGAUGGAAACUAGCUAUAGCUACCAACAUAUAAAUAAUAUGCGAGAAAUUGAAGUAUCAGUUGACAAUUUCUGCAACUGGGUGAUGGAUUUAGAAUCUUUCACUGUAAACCAUUUUUUAGGUAUUAGACUAUUAGGUUUCCUAAUGGUAAGUCUGGAAUAUAUAUAUAUAUAUAUAUAUAUAUAUAUAUAUAUAUAUAUUAUGAUUUUAAGUUUAAUUAUUGUAAUUAUUAAUAUAAUAAUUACUAAAAAUUUAUAUAAUUAUUACUUUUAAAACACGUGAAAUUAAUUAAAAUAUUUAUAAAUUAAUCCAAUAUCCACAAUAAUAAUAAUAAAAAAAACAAUUUCACUGUAAAAUAAAACGGUGGAGACUCAGACACAUCAAGGUAAGAGCAUCUCCAAUGGAAAAUGUCAUUUUGAAGAGCCAAAUGAAGAAAAUAGCUUUUUGAAUAGUGUAAAUGUAUCUUUUUGUAUUAUGUGCAUUCCAAUGGUAAAAAGCUAUUUAGAAAAGCCAUUUAUAUUUUAAUAUAUUUCAUGUUAAAUUUAUUUUUAUAUAAUUAUGUAACUAAUUUAGAUAUUUUAUAUAUAAUAUAAUUAUGAUGUUAUUAAUUAUAUAAUUAAUAUUAGUAAUUUAUAAAAAUAAUAUAAAAUUUAAUGAAAUAAUAUGAAAGUUAAAAGAUAUAAUUUAAAAUUAAACUUAAAAUUUAUUUAUAUGAAUAUUUUUAAUUUUUAAUUUUCGGUUUUAUAUGUUACUGUUAAAAAUUUAAUUUUUUAAAAGUAAAUUCAAAUUAAUCCUACUUAUUGUUGUUUUUCAUUAUGGUUGUUAUCUUUUAAGUUAAUUAAUCUUACUUAUUAUUGUUUUUCAUUAUGGUUGUUAUCUUUUAAGUUAAUUAAUCCUACUUAUUGUUAAUAAUUAACCGGAGAAUAAUCGAUUCUUGUUUUUUAAAAUUUGAGAGAAGGGUGAGGCACAAUACAAAAAUUUAAAACUACAAGUUUUUUCUUCAUGUAUUUAUAGAUAAAAUUUUCUAUGUAAAAAAAAAAAAAGUUGUUGGCCGUUGGCCAUUUUAGUUAUUUCUAAAGUUAAAUAUAAAAAUAACUUUUCAAUUUAUAAAAAAUCAUUUUGACUGUCACUUUAGCAUUCUAUUAAAAUAUUAAAAGUAAAGAAAUAAGAGUACAUAUAGCUCUUGGUUUGGCAGCUCCAACCUAAAGCUUUCAUGUGGCUGUGGUGGCUGUUUCAUUAAAUUACACGGCCUGGUAACACAGGACCCUGGCCUCCCCUAUAGCCAUGAGAUUUGCAGGUAUUAUUAUUGCUGGCAACUCUAUGUCCUAUGAUUUAUAGACAAAAUCAUAGUUUCGGACAUGACAUCUUGAUGUGAUAGAUUUACAUAACAUGGUCAUUGAACGCAGAGUAUUAUCAGACCACCAGUGGUUGUAAUAUUGAUUAUUUUUAAAAUAAUUUUUUUAUUUAUAAAUAUAUUAAAAUAAGUUUUUAAAUUUUAUUUUUUAUUCUGACACAUUAAAAUAAUUUUAAAAUAUUAAAAAAAUUAACUUAUUUAAAAUACGGUAAAAACAAACAAUAUCAUAUGUAUCAAGAGUUUAAACUAGACUAUCACCUUCAUUUUUUUGGUACAACAUAAUAAAAAAUUAUUAAAACCAAUGAAUUAAGUGUAUUAAUUAAAUCAAUGUAUAAUAGUUUUUUUUUUAAUAUUUUUUUAAAAUAAAUAAUAUUAUAUUAAAAAGUUAAAUUAAAUUUUAAUCUGAUCACAUCAAGUUAACUAUAACUUAAUUUAAUUUAAAAUCUAAUAUAUCCACUAGAUCAAAUAAGACUAAAUUUAAUAUUACUAAAAAACAACAUAGGACCUCCACAAUUCCCGCAACCUAAAUUUGUUCAAGAUUGAAUGGGUUCUCUCAUUACAUGUAGCAUUAAACAUCAAGAAGAAUCAUGAUGACAUGCGAGACAGAUUAAAAUCUACAAAAUUGGAAGGGGAUAGAUUUAUAGCCAAGUGGAGUCACGAGAUCUUUCAGUGAAUUAAUAUUUUAAUCAUGGUCAGUGGCUAGCUGCUUUCUACACCAACUUUUUCAAAGCAGGAAUCACAGAGCUAAAAAAAAAAUAAAUUACAAAAUACCUUUGUUUCCUCUAUAUAUUGAUCUCUAGUCUCCAAGUUCCCCACUAAAGUCAAUAACUAGAUAAGCAACUUGCGAUUCUUUACUCAAGCUUUGUUCUUACUCUAAUGGUGUAGACUUUACAUCUCUCUUCACUCCACUCUCCUCCAACACUCCCGAAACAAAUACUAUUUUCUACACACACAGAAGCAGUAAAAAUGGAAAGCGUUUAGUCUCUCUCAGAACAAGUUAUGAGCUUGAGAUCCAUUGGGAAGGAGUUCUUCCAGCCAGGUUCCCGAAGGAUGCAGAGUGUUAAAGAUAAAGCUUCUAAAAAAGACUCAAACGUCAAGCCCCUUAAUGAUGCUGCUUGUGCAUCUGCUUCAUCGAAGCAGAAAACAAGUUUCUCAGGUAAUUUCAGUUCCAAUGAUUUCAAUAAUCCUGCUAAAAACAGUGAAGAUAACAAGCGUAAACAGGCAGAGGAGUCGCUGCGGACUGUGAUGUAUUUGAGUUGUUGGGGUCCUAAUUAACUUCUAGGCAAUCCGAAUUGUGAGAGCAGGUUGGGAUACUGCAUCGAAGUUAAUGUACAGAGUCUGUAAUGUAAGCGAGUGUUCAUGUAAUAUGUACUGUAUUUAACAUAUAUGCCUAUCUUUUCUUGUUCAUCGUCAUGGGAACUUUAAAGUGAGAAAAUGGCAAGUAAUGAUCAGAUCCUUGAGCACAGAAAAUGGUCUGAAACUCUUAAAACUGCUAAUGCAUGGUGGUGCCUGAAAAAGCAGGAUAGAGACUCCAUGAAAUUUGAUUAUAAGAUAUGCUUUCCCUUGAAGAUCAUGAUGGGAAUUAAGGCCACAGGAUUUGGAGAUAGAUUUGCUUAUGAUUCAUUCAAAACAUCAAUCGAAAUCAACAAUUAAUUGAAGAUAAAUAAAAUUGAAGUUCAAGGACAUAUUUUCUCUAGUAAAGAAAGGCAUCAAACUAUCAUGGAUCACACAAAGUGCCCUUUCAUCUAAUGAAGACGCUUGAUAUAUGGAACAUGUGUGAAGGGUUAAGAAAUCGACACAGAAGAAGCACUGUAUCUCUGAGGAUUAGACAGCAUGUAUGAACACAUUAAUAAUCUUGUGUUUCUAUAAUUUAUUAGAAGGCUCAUUGUUAAGCAACAUGCUAAUAUUUACCAUCAUAAUACAUAAAGCUAAAUCAACUGUUCAUAAAAUAUCAUUCAUCCUCUCAUGUAUGUGAAUUAUAAUAAUUAUAAUAGUGUAAUUUUUGAAAAAUUUAAAUUUGAUCCUGGAAUUUUUAUUUACAUGUUUUUUUUUAAAGGAUUGUUGAAUUAAAAAAAAAAAGGGACUUCACUGAGACAAACAAGUAAUAUAAGUAGUGGAUUGAAAAUUUAUGUCAACAAAUUAUUUGAGUUCCUUACAAUUUUUAGCUAUUAGGUUAUUAGUACUUUAUAUUUUAUAAAAUUUAAUUUUAAUACCAAAUUUUAAUUUACUUAUUUUUCAAUCUUGUUAGUAAGAGGAGAGAGAGGAGGUCGUUGGAUUCUGGUUGGUGAGGAAUUCAGCCACUAAAAUGAUUGUUUUUAUGUUAAAUGGUUUUAUAUGAUGAAAAAAAUUAAGAUUAGGUGUUUUUCUACUUUAUAAACAUCUAAAAAUCAUAUAUGAGCUCAAAAUUUUAUUAUUUUUUUGUUUCAGGUGGAUUUUGAGUUUUAAGGCAAUUCUUUACUUUUUUUUCGUGGCUAUGUAUUGGUUUAAAAAAAUUACUAUAUUCAGUGGGGUUCAUGACAUAAUUUACUUGAAAACUGAGAUCUAAUCUAUUAAUAUCUCAAUAGUUUUUAUAAAAAAAUUAUCAUCUUGAAAUUUUGUUAAAAGCUAAGUUAUAUUUUUACUAAUCAUCAAGAUUGCAUCUUGAACUAUGAAAUUAAUUAAUUUAAUCUGAGCUAACUCCCGAGCAAUUUAAUUUAAAAUUUGAGUUAGAUAAAAAGUUAAAUUACAAAAUUUCAAGAUUAAUCUAUUAAAUUAGGUAUAAUAAUAUAAUCAAAAAAAUUCUUCACCUCUUAAUAUUUUUUUAUAUAUUUUAAAAAAUUUGUAUAAUCUACAGCGGAAAACAGGCCAAUUAACUAAUAUAUAGGCAAAUCAAGAUGCGAUGGGCCAGAGGUUUAUAACAUCUAAAAAUAGGUCAUGUGCCAAUGUUUAAAAUUAGGUUAGAGAAAGUUAGGAGCUCAAAGCUAUAAUAGGCCGCAAACCUCAUAGAGCUCAUAUUCAUAUAUACUUAAUCACUCGAGUUUGGAUAUAUUACUUGGUCAGGUGCUUAUCUAGAAAAUGGAUCAUCGAUUUAUACUUUUAGAAGUCAUGAUUGGCCAGCAAGUCCAAAACACAUGCUUUUCAAAUUAGACUUGCAGUGUCUAUAGGAUUUAAAUUCUUGAUAGGAUGUUCACUAAAAUCCCUUUGAACCGAUUGAGCCCGAAUAGACUAAUACACUUGAUGCUACUAAAUUAUAAAACGGCUUAUUUUCAAGUUUUUUGUAGAAAAAAAUUAAAUCAAUAUUGUUUUAAUAAAAAAAUUCAAAUCAGAUCUCAUCAAAAUUUUAUUUUGAUCAAGUUAAGAAUAAACCCGUAUGAUUAAACCAGAUUUUACCGAUUCAACUCUCAUAUAGUUCAUAGCAAGCUCUGGAUGGAUAGAUAACCGAAUUUACUUGCAAAGACAGAGCGAGUUUAAUACAAUUGUCUGGAGCAUUAUGAAUCCUCUCAUAUAAGUUACCACGAAUCCCCAACGCACAAUUGUAUUCACAGUUGAGUCUCUAAAGAAACAAUUUAGCAGUUUUACCCUUGAAGUUUGUUUGUCUCCACGACUUGUCGGCUUGUCCUCUGAAGUCAAAACCCAGACAUGACCAGAGUGGGUGCCAUCAUUUGUUGCCGGUGGCCUCAUCUGACAGCGUACCAGGCAGUUUCACAAGAAAACUGCGUGUCCAUUAUUACCUGCUCUAGUCUAGUGGCUGCAUUAUCUUGUCACAUUUUCACCGUCAAGAUGUGACCAAAAUCCAUACUUGUUUUUUUUUUUUUUAUUAUUAUUUAUUAAUAUAGGUAUCGACAGUUUAUAUAUAUUUAAAUUAAUUUUUUAAUUUUUUAAAUUAAUAAUUAUAUAAAUUUAAAGUAAUUCUAAUAUUUGCAUGAUUUAAACUGGUAAUUUUUAGAGAGAUUAUCUUUCUAUUUUUUUAUUAAUAUAGAUAUCCGAACUAACAUACGUAUCUUAAUUAAUUCUACGGUCUUUAAAAUUAAUAAAUAUAUAAAUUUUUAGUACCAUAAAAUUUAUAAAAUUCAAACUAAUAAUUUUUAAAAUAUAAAUUUAAAAUUUAAUUAAUUGUACUAUAUUUCUCUGGUUGAUUAUCCUUCUAUUAUUAAUAUGACAUGUGGUUAUGAAGGGUCAAUAAAGUAAUUGUAGAAAAAAUAAUGCUAUUUUUUUGCCUUACAAGGGGCCAAAACCAGUGGCCUUAGCCUGUAGCUAAUGGUUUCUGGCUUUCUACUACUUGUUUUCAGCCAUCACCAUCCCCUCUAUAAAUAAAGGCCCCUUAGAAUCCAUUAGCUUCAUCAAGAUCAUCUGUAAUCUGCAGUCAUCUACUUGCAAAAGAAAACGGAAACUUAAAGGGUUAAAGGAAAAAAAUGAGUACAGCAAGAACGGCUUGGAUUGUGGGAGCUAGCAUUGGAGCUGUAGAGGCAUUGAAGGACCAGGGCUUUUGCAGAUGGACCUACACCAUGAGAUCAUUACACAAACAUGCAAAGAAUAAUAUGAGCUCAAUCUCUCAGACCAAGAAGCUUUCGUCUUCAUCGUUUGCUAUGGUUUCGGGUGAAUUGAGGGAAUCAAGCCAAUCCGAGGAGUCUCUGAGGAAAGUCAUGUACUUGAGUUGUUGGGGUUCAAAUUAAAUGAGUUGAGAAGUUUGCCAUGAGAAUCUGACGCCUCAUGCAGGCUGAAGCUGGUCCAUUGAGAAGAACAUAGCCAAAGCCAUGAUUACGGUUUGUGAGAGAAAAUUUGCGGGGCUUGAUUAGUGAUUGAUGCAAGCCUGAUGUGAACUGUAGCUAGUCUGACUGCCCUCUCAUCAGUGGCGGAGAGAGGGGGGCGCGGCCCCUGCAAGGAAUUUUUUUUCCAGCCCCUCCCUUCAUAAUAUUAAUAAAUUUAGUCUAAAUAAUCAAACAACUAAUAUUUUUGCCCCCUUUAAUUCUUUUUUCUGGUUCCGCCCCUGCCUCUCAUGAUCAGCUUGUAAUUACACCAUUGCUAUAUGGAACAAAAAUGUUGUCACCAUCUUCCUAUCUUUUGCUAUCCCUUUGAAUUGAUGUCCCAUGCAAUCUCAAAAUUCUUGCUUGUUCUUAAGAUCAUUGCGCUGUGAGAUGUUGUUGUCACCAAAUUUUCAUGGUUUCUGUGACAUGGGCUAAAUGACAUUCAAACAUCCUGCUUAAUUUUGAGCAUGGAUUAAGCCUUUCCUUGAUAGAUCAUGGUUUGAUGCUUAACGUCAAGCAACAAGAUUGGAUGCAUGUGCAUUUUCAAUUAAGAAUUCAAACUGGAAUUUCAACAAUUUUUCUGCAGAUCUGUCUCCCAAAUUCCAACCUGACUAUCAGUGUGACCGCUUCUCACUUCAAGCAAAGCGAUUAACCAUUUCUGCGCAUGGAUAAUAGGGCUUCGAUAGGAUUUUAGAGGCUUACUUUGAAUGGUGGGCAGAAUUCUUAAGAGCAAUGGAUAUACAAACCACCAACUUUCAUUUAAUUCUCAAUUGGAUUCCCACAUAGAAAACUAGAAAGGCCAAGGAUGCACUCGGAUGUGUAGAUGGGCUUAGAUAUGCUCGGAUGGUACUUCACUAAAAAAAACAUGUGUAGCGGUGUUUUUUAUUUUUUUUAUUUUUUUAAAUGAAUUGUUUUUAUUUUUCUUAAAUUAAGUUUUUAUUUUUUGUAUUUUAUGAUUUUAAAAAUGAAUUUUUUAAAAUAAAAAAAAUUAUUUUAAUAUAUUUUCAAACAAUUUUUUUAAAUAAAAACCACUAACAAAACAUCAGAAUCUACAUAUAUUUUUUAAACAAUCUGAAUUGAAAUAUCAAAUAUAAAAUAAUGUGCUAAUUGAUGCUUUCGUAUUUUCUUUUCCCAAAUCUUUUAUAAACCUACCUGUGUAAGUUGAUGGCGAGUAGGAUUUUUAUAAAUCUUCAUGUCCGGAUGGAAGUAAUUUGCUCAAUUUUGUAAGUUCCUGAAAAGGGAUAGAUCCAAGCUUUAUGUGAAUACAUGUUUACCGUAAAAUAAAAUAUGAAAAAGAUGAAUUCCAAGAAAUCGCGUGAGAGAGAGAGAGAUAGAGAGGCUAUCAACUUUAUUUUAUAAGAAGAAGAAAAGGAGAAGCAUGCAAUUUGACAUUUGUUUAUCCUCAGUCCCACACUUUUUUUUUAUUGUUAUUAUCAAGGUUUGUAAAAUUUCAACCGAUAAUUUUUAAAGAAUAAAUUUAAAAAUUAAUCAGUUAAACUACGCCCGGUUCAGUCCCGCACUUUCUUACAUUCCUUACAAGUGGCAAAUGCACUUCAAUGAGAAAGUGCCACCGAAUGGUUGCAAGCAUGACUCACCACCCUUCAGCUAUGAUGCUCCUCCUGAUGCCUUGGCUUGGAUUUUUUUAUUUUACAAAGCAAAACCGUGUGCUCAUUUGAAGGCAGGCAGAGAAGCUUUUGGGUUGUUGUCGAGCAAAAGUAUAAUUACCAUUGGCUUUUGCUGGUUUCCGCACCCAAAACCACCAGCAGGAAGCCUUUAGCCUCACGUUUUUUCCUCAACUUUUGGCAUUCUCACCUAUAUAACCAAACCCCAUCCUUCCAUUGGAUUCAUCAAAGCAUAGCUCGUGUUAUCUUACUCUCUACAAAUCCCACUACAAACUUGUUGGUUCUAUAUUACAGUAACAUAAAAAAUGAGUUCAGCGAGUAAAGCUUGGUUGGUUGCCGCUGCUAUCGGAGGUGUUGAGGCGUUGAAAGAUCAAGGGUUCUGUAGGUGGAACUACACCUUGAGAUCCCUACACCACCAUGCCAAGAACCAUGUCAGAUCAGCCUCUCAGGCCAAGAAGCUUUCUUCUUCAUCCUCAGCCAUGAUCUCAAAUAUAGUCAAGGAAGAGAAGGCAAAACAGUCAGAGGAGUCUUUAAGAAAAGUCAUGUACUUGAGUUGUUGGGGUCCAAACUGAAGCUAUGAAUCUAGUAGAUGAAAUCGAGGGACUUAGUUUGUAGGAGUAAAUCCUUGCAAGCUUAUGCAAAUUGUAAAAUUUGAUGCUCAUUUGGAGCUGUAGAGGCAUUGAAGGACCAGGGUUUUUGCAGAUGGACCUACACCAUGAGAUCAUUACACAAACAUGCCAAGAAUAAUACGAGGUCAAUCUCUCAGGCCAGGAAGCUUUCUUCUUCAUCUUUUGCUAUGGUUUCGAAUAAAUUGAGGGGAUCAAGCCAAUACGAGGAGUCUCUGAGGAAAGUCAUGUACUUGAGUUGUUGGGGUCCAAAUUAAAUGAGUUUAGAAGUUUGCCAUGAGAAUCUGAUGCCUUAUGCAGGCUGAAGCUGGUCCAUUGAGAAGAACAUAGCCAAAGCCAUGAUUAUGGUUUGUGAGAGAAAAUUUGCGGGGCUUGAUUAGUGAUUGAUGCAAGCCUAGUGUUAACUGUAGCUAGUCUGACUGCCAUCUCAUGAUCAGCUUGUAAUUACACCAUUGCUAUACGCAACACGAAAAUUUUGUGGAACAAAAUAUGUUGUCACCAUCUUCCUAUCUUUUGCUAUCCCUUUUUAAUUGAUGUCCCAUGCAAUCUCAAAAAUCUUGCUUGUUCUUUGAUCAUUUCGUUGUGAGAUGUUGCCACCAAAUUUUCAUGGUUUCUGUGACAUGGGCUAAAUGACAUUCAAACAUCCUGCUUAAUUUCGAGCAUGGAUUCAGCCUUUCCUUGAUAGAUCAUGGUUUGAUGCUUAACGUCAAGCAACAAGAUUGGAAACAUGUGCAUUUUCAAUUAAGAAUUCUGGAAUUUCAAAACUUUUUCUGCAGAUCUGUCUUCCAAAUUCCUACCUGUCUAUCAGUGUGACCACUUCUCACUUCAAGCAAAGCGAUUAACUAUUUCUGUGCAUGGAUAGUAGGGCUUCGAUAGGAUUUUAGAGGCUUACCUUGAAUGGUGGGCAGAAUUUUUUAGAGCAAAGGACAUUUAUAGACUUAAAUCUUGAAGUAAGGGAUAAUUUCUUCAUCUUCUUCGCCAUCAUAUCCUCCUUAACCAUGCUACUAUUCUAACACCCACACAUACACAUGGUUAUUCAAGGCUCUUUCUCUUCUACUUAAAUUGAUUUAAGCAUUGAAGGAUCAAUCAUUUUCAUCAAAAGACUUGUUUUGAAGGUUAUCAUCCAUCCCAAUACUUUCUCAAGCAGGUUUUAGUCCAACUCAACCUAAAGAGUAACUAAUUCUUUUGGAAGGGGUUUCUACAACUUCAUCACUGUUAGCUUGAAAUUGUACUCACCUAAUUAACCCUCGUUUUAAAGUUUGUGCAUGAUUUUUUUAUAUUCAAAAGUUAGCAUUCUGAGUUUUUUUUUUAAUGUAUAAUGUGUUUAUAGGAUAUGGCUUCUAAAAAUAAUUUAAAAAUAAUGGUGCUAAUUGGUGCUUACGUAUUUUCUUUUCCCAAAUCUUAUAUAAACCUUCUGUGUAAGUUGAUGGCGAGUAGGAUUUUUAUAAAUCUUCAUGUCUGGAUGUAAGUAAUUUGCUCAAUUUUGUAAGUUCCUGAAAAGGGAUCGAUUCAAGCUUUAUGUGAAUACAUGUUUACCAUAAAAUAAAAUAUGAAAAAGAUGAAUUCCAAGAAAUCGAGAGAGAAAGAGAGAGAGAGAGAGAGCUAUCCUCAGUCCCACACUUUCUUUCAGUCCUUACAAGUGGCAAAAGCACUUCAAUGAGAAGUGCCACCAAAUUGUGACAUGCAUGACUCACCACCCUUCAGCUAUGCUCCUCCUGAUACGUUGGCUUGGAUUUAUUUAUUUUACGAAGCAAAACCGUGUGCUCAUUUCAAGGCAGGCAGAGAAGCUUUUGACUUGCUGUGGAGUGAAGGGCAAAAAAAUCUAGCCAUCCCAAGAACCCGAUUUUGUCCCCACCUUCUUGUUGUCGCCAUGUGGUAGUUGAAUGUCAAUACAGUCAUCUCACCAUAAAAAAAUACCAUUGGCUUUUGCUGGUUUCCUCACCCAAAACCACCAGCAGGAAGCCUUUAGCCUCAGGUUUUUUCCUAAACUUUUGGCAUUCUCACCUAUAUAACCAAACCCCAUCCUCCCAUCGGAUUCAUCAAAGCAUAGCUCGUGUUUUCUUACUCUCCACAAAUCCCACUACAAACUUGUUGGUUCUAUAUUACAGUAACAUAAAAAAUGAGUUCAGCGAGUAAAGCUUGGUUGGUUGCCGCUGCUAUCGGAGGUGUUGAGGCGUUGAAAGAUCAAGGGUUCUGUAGGUGGAACUACACCUUGAGAUCCCUACACCACCAUGCCAAGAACCAUGUCAGAUCAGCCUCUCAGGCCAAGAAGCUUUCUUCUUCAUCCUCAGCCAUGAUCUCAAAUAUAGUCAAGGAAGAGAAGGCAAAACAGUCAGAGGAGUCUUUAAGAAAAGUCAUGUACUUGAGUUGUUGGGGUCCAAACUAAAGUAAUGAAUCUAGGAGAUGAAAUCGAGGGACUUAGUUUAUAGGAGUAAAUCGUAGCAAGCUUAUGCAAAUUGUAAAUUUUGAUGCUCAUUUGAUGAAAUCGAACAUUAUCGCAUGUUUCUACCAUUUCUUUUGGUAACGCGCAGUGCAUUUCCCUAGUGAGUAAAUUUAACAAAGCUCUUUUCUAGUUUUCAAGUGGAAUAAACAGGCAAUUAAUUUCAAUAUGAGAUAUGAAAUUCAACUCGAGGCUAAAAUCUCUUUCUCCCCACAUCCUCAAAUGGAUAAAAAGGCUACAUGAAAAACGAAAACCUCAAAUUGGAUUUGACCCCAAAGAAAAUCCAUUUUGCUGUAAAAUUCUCAGUCACUGAUCUCAACAGGAGUGAUCGUUGUGUGAAAAAUGGAACAUAAGCUUGUACUAUCAGAUAAAUUUAUUAAUAAGUAAGAUUGGAUUAGCUUCAAUAAGGAAUUAUAAUUACGAAAGCUAAAUCUUUUAAAUUUUAGAGCAAUUAGAAAUCAAAGAGUUACAUGGUUAUUAAUUUAAAAAUUCAUAAAAUUAAUUAAAAAAUAUAUGAAUUGAUUAGAACACCUAUAUUAAUUAAAAAAAAUAAUAGGAAUGAUGCUGAUUCAAAAUUAAUGUUCAUUCUUAAAUCACUCUUACAAGCUCACUAGAAUCUCUCUAUGUUAAACCCAAAUGAAAACAAAAAACUAAAAAUAUGAGCGUUUAUUUUCAGAAAAACAAAUGGUCGUGAGACCAACACAAUUUUUGCCUAAAUUUCUUUUCAAGCGCUAAUAGUUAGCAUUAGUGGAAAGCUACCUCCAAGAAUAUGGCAUGUGGCAUUCCUCGACUCUAAUUUGGCCUUUGUUGGAUUUUUUUGUUUAACAAAACGGUGUGCUCGUGAGAAGAUAGAGACAAAGUUGAUUUGUCGCAUGUCAUGCACAAAUUAAAAAAUCCACUAACGCAUCAUGUCAUAAAAAAUACCGUUGGCCUUUGCUGGUUUCCUCCCUCGAAACCACCACCAAGAAGCCUUUAGCCUAUGGUUUUUCUCCUACACUUUUGGUACACUCACCUAUAUAACCAAACCCCUUUACUCCCCUUUACUUCAUCAAAUCAUAGCUCCUGAUAUCUUAAUCUCUACAAAUCCCACUUCAAAGAGUUUCCAACUCGUUGGUUCUAUAUUACAGUAACACAGAAAAUGAGUUCAGCAAGCAAAGCUUGGUUGGUUGCAGCAGCUGUUGGAGGUGUUGAGGCCUUGAAAGACCAAGGGUUCUGCAGGUGGAACUACACCUUGAGAUCCCUCCACCAACAUGCCAAGAACCAUGUCAGAUCAGCCUCUCAGGCCAAGAAGCUUUCUUCUUCAUCCUCUGCCAUGAUCUCGAAUAAAAUCAAGGAAGUGAGAGCAAAACAGUCUGAGGAAUCUCUAAGAAAAGUCAUGUAUUUGAGCUGUUGGGGCCCUUACUAAGCAAAGAAGCAAGAACAGAGAUUGAGGAAAUUAUCGUGAUAGGAUUACCCUGAUUGUUGCAAGUCGAUGUAAAUAUUUGUAAAUUUUGUUGCUGACUUAAUGGAAUCAAACAAUAUUAUUCUUGGAUUAGUUUUUCCUUGCACCUUUUAUGUUUUCCCACUUCUUUUGGUAGCACCUCAUGUCACAGGUGAAAACUAAAGGGAUCAUGACAAGGUUCAAUUUUAGUGCAUCACAGCAUUUGCUAAGGAUAUUUAAAUUAAUUGCAACCCCAAGCUAAAUAUCUAAUUUGGUUUAAAAAGUAUUUUAAAAAAUCAGCAACUCAACUGGAGGAGGGGUUGUAUCGCAAAAGCUAAAUAUCUUGAUAGGUUGACAAAUUAGUGCAAAUCUUAAACUGGAAUUCUCAAUUUCAAUCUGGCCCAGAAGAAAAUUAGUUUAGGAGUAUUUCUUCACUCACAAGUGUUUUUUUUAAUAUUAUAUUUUAUAAUUUUUUAGUUGAAUAUUGAAUUCUUUAAUAGUUAAGUUUCAUAUUUUUAUUUAGUUUUUUUUUUUACUUUUUUAAUUAUUUUUUGCCAUGAAUAAUCUUUUGAAUAAAUAUAAAAUUUAUUUCUAGCAACAAAAUUACUAGAUAUAAUUGAGUAAUAACGCAUAAUUAAAUAUUUUAAUCUUAUUAAAUAUUUUAAUCAAAUAUUAAUUCAUUCAAUUAAAUACAUGCAUAAAUAUUGUAAUAUAUAAUUGAGAAUUUUUUAUAUUAACAACCUCAUGAAAAACUUAAUUAUUAUUUUUUUUUUUUACUAAAAAGGAUAUAUAAUCCUCUACGAAGUGCUGUUGAAAUAGUUUACAUACAGUCCUCAUUGUGCAUGGUGAAUAUUUUGCAGGAGAUUCCCGGAUCAUUAAACAACUUCAUCAUUUAAAUGAUGAAUGCAGAGAGGUAUUUAUGGUGCAGCUUGGAUUCAGUUCAAAGAGAUCCAAUAUAUGUUUCCUUGCUUCGUCCAGAUGAAGGUUACGUUUGUGUGAUUGUGGAUGGCAGCUCUCAUGGGCAAUCCAGGCGUGUCUGGAUUUGGGGAACUGGUUUGAAACAAUGACAGUCACCGGAUGGCGGGUUUCUUGGGUUUUUGUGGUUUUGGAUUGAAUCUUCUUCCGGAACUUCUGGCAAUUAAACAUGGCUUAGCUGAAGCAUAGGAUAGAGGCCAUAGGAGGAUCAUUAUCGAUUCUCAAGAGGCAAUCAAGCUUACAAAAGAGAAGAAUUCUAAAUUUCAUAAAUUGGAUGCGGUUAUAUGUAGAUGUCAAGUUUUUUUGGCUAAGCAUGAUGUAAAGAAUCAUGAUUUGUUCCAGGUGUGGGACAUUCCUUCUCCGGGGCUACACUCUCUCCUUAUGACCGAUUCGUUGGUUCGUUGGGUUUCAAUUUUAGAAGAGUUUUUUAGUUUGUGUCAUUUAAUUUUCACUGCAUCAAAAAAAAAAAAAAUUCCUAACUAUUACUUCAACUUUCUUGCUUAUUAGCAAUCAUACAACAACAGCAGCAACAAGUAACAGCAUCACUUGUCUUUCAUCCUUUUACAGUUCCAUAACACCAAAACAGCUUUGUGAAUACAUGUUUAACCGUAAAAUAAAAUACGAAAAAAGAUGAAUUUUAAGAGAGAGAGAGAGAGGCUCUCAACUUUAUUUUAUAUUAAAGAAAACGAAAAGGAGAAGCAUGCAUUUUGACAUUUGUUUAUCCUCAGUCCCACACUUUCUUUCAGUCCUUACAAGUGGCAAAAAUGAGAAGUGCCACCAAAUUGUGACAUGCAUGACUCACCACCCUUCAGCUAUGCUCCUCCUUAUACGGUGGCUAGGAUUUAUUUAUUUUACGAAGCAAAACCAUGUGCUCAUUUCAAGGCAGGCAGAGAAGCUUUUGGCUUGUUGUGGAGUAAAGGGCAAAAAAAUCUAGCCAUCCCAAGAACCCGAUUUUGUCCCCACUUUCUUAUUGUCACCAUGUGGUAGUUGAAUGUUAAUACAGCCAUCUCACCAUAAAAAAUUACCAUCGGCUUUUGCUGGUUUCCUCACCCAAAACAACCAGCAGGAAGCCUUUAGCCUCAGGUUUUUUCCUCAACUUUUGGCAUUCUCACCUAUAUAACCAAACCCCAUCCUCCCAUCGGAUUCAUCAAAGCAUAGCUCGAGCUUUCUUACUCUCUACAAAUCCUACUACAAACUUGUUGGUUCUAUAUUACAGUAACAUAAAAAAUGAGUUCAGCGAGUAAAGCUUGGUUGGUUGCCGCUGCUAUCGGAGGUGUUGAGGCGUUGAAAGAUCAAGGGUUCUGUAGGUGGAACUACACAUUGAGAUCCCUCCACCACCAUGCCAAGAACCAUGUCAGAUCAGUCUCUCAGGCCAAGAAGCUUUCUUCUUCGUCCUCAGCCAUGAUCUCAAAUAUAGUCAAGGAAGAGAAGGCAAAACAGUCAGAGGAGUCUUUAAGAAAAGUCAUGUACUUGAGUUGUUGGGGUCCAAACUGAAGCUAUGAAUCUAGUAGAUGAAAUCGAGGGACUUAGUUUAUAGUUUAUAGGAGUAAAUCCUUGCAAGCUUAUGCAAAUUGUAAAUUUUGAUGCACAUUUUCUGAAAUCGAACAUUAUCACAUGUUUUUAUCAUUUCUUUUGGUAGCGCGAGUGCAUUUCCCUAGUGAGUAAAUUUAACAAAGCUCUUUUCUAGUUUUCUAGUGGAAUAAACAGGCAAUUAAUUUCAUUUAAUUUCAAUAUGAGAUAUGAAAUUCAACUGGAGGUUAAAAUCUCUUUCUCCCCACAUCCUCAGAUGGAUAAAAAGGCUAUCUCAAAUUGGAUUUGACCCCAAAGAAAAUCCAUUUUGUUGUAAAAUUCUCAGUCACUAAUCACAACAGGAGUGAUCAUUGUGUGAAAAAUGGAAGAGGACCUUGUACCAUCACAUAAAUUUAUUAAUAAGUAAGAUUGGAUCGAAUUCUUUUGAUAUUUAAAAAUACAGAAUUAUGUCUUUUUCUAUGUCAAAGUGUGCAGUUCAAGAAACUAGGAACGAUGCUGAUUCAAAAUUAAUGUUCAUUCUUAGAUCACUCUUACAAGCUCACUAGAAUCUCUCUCUGUUAAACCCAAAUGAAAAGAAAAAACUAAAAAUAUGAGCGUUUAUUUUCAGAAAUACAAAUGGUCUUGACCAAUACAAUUUUUGCCUAAAUUUCUAUUCAAGCGCUAAUAGUUAACAUUAAUGGAAAGCGACCUGCAUAUGACCUUCUUGCAGAAAGAAAACAACUGAACUUUUAACUUCCAUGCAUCAUAGCCAUUAAACCUGGCAUAGAUUAGAUUAGCAAAGCUGAGUCUGAAAACAAAUCCUCACAGAAAUCUGAAAACAUAAAACUAAAGUUAUUGUUUUAAUUAUUUUUCUAAUUAAUUUUAAAUUAUAAUUAUUUAUUUUCUAUUUAAUUUAUGCUAGAUGGAUUAUAUUAAUUAGAAUUUUUUUUAACUAUAAAUCCUUUUUUAUAACAAAUUUUAGAAUUAAUAUAAAUAGAAAUAUGUAGUUUAUUUUUAUAGAGAUAAAAACUAUUAUUUAUAUUUAAUAAAAAUAUAUAAAAAAUUAAAAUUUCUGAAAAGUUUAAUCUACAAUUUUAGAACUUGAAGUCUAGUUUUAUUUUGGCUAUAGUCUGUGUCAUGACUUAAACUGUCUAGUUUUUUACUGAACUGUAUUAAAUAUUAAUUUAGUAAAAUUCGAAUUGGAUUGGCUUGCGAGUUAAUCUAAUGAUCGAUUAAGUGGCCGUUUGGAUUUGCUGCAGCGGUUGCGGUUGAAAUGAAAAUAUGCAAUAUAGUGUUUGGUUAACACCAACCAUGUUUUUUAUUGAUGUGGGUCCCAGUCCAAAACUAAGGCUGGACUUCAGUUUUUGAAAAGCAAUUACCAAUUGCUUUUCAUGCGUUUUGCCCUCUCUUUCAUCGCCGACACUUUCCUCUUGUUUUCCCAACGAUCCCAACUCCUGUCCUUGAUUUUUAUGUUUCAACUCUCACAGCCUAUCCAUUUCCAAACCUCAGCAGCUUAGGAAAGAGAAAAGCUCACAAUCUGUUUUUUUUGAAAAGGUUUAUUCUACCCAUAUAACUUAUAAUUUUUUAUCGCCUUGUUAUUAAUAUGGGGUUUAAUUUUUAUUUUAUUCUACGACUGUCUAUUUUUAAAAAAAUUAUUUAAUCUAUCUUUUUUAAAUAGCAAUUAUUCUUAUAUAUAUUUUUAGUUUUAUAAUGUACCAAAGAAGUUAUUGUAAUUUAUCUUUAUUUUUUUUCUUUUAUAUUUGAUUAAAAAAAUAACCUCUAAGAUAAAAAAAAAAACAAAAAAAAACAUAUGAAUUAAAAAAAAAGUUAGGUCAAAUAUUUUAAUGCUUAUUGUAUUUUGUUUUUAUGAAAGAUAUUAAUUUUUUUAUUUUAAUAUUUAAUUACCAUUAACAAAUUUUUCUCAACUUAUCACUUCUUAGAUUUUUAUAUUUAUUUUAUUAAAUUUAAAUAAAAACUUAACAUUUUUCAAUUAAAAAAAUUCACAAUACAAUAAAAUGCAUUUACAAAAUUGGCGUUUAUUAAAAAAAUUCAUUUCUUUUGAAAAGUGCUUUUUGAAUCAUAAUUUUACCAAACACAAAACUGCUUUUUUUUUCUACCACAAUUUAAACCACAGUUUUUUAACCAAACACAAGAAACUGUUUUUUUUAAAACCACAACUCCAACCACAGUUUUAACCAAACACUAACUUUUUUUGAAAUCAAUCUCACAAAAAAUACUUUUUAUUAAACUAUUCUUUUCAAACCAUAAUUAUAAAAGCUACCACAAUACUAAACACAUUCAGUAAGGGAAAAAAAAAAAAAAACAAAAGAAAGAAAGCAUGCAGUUUCCUAGACGGUCCUGCUACCUUAAUUGAUACAGUUUCAUGCGUAUGAGCCUCCAAGAACAUGGCAUGUGGCAUUCCUCACCUCUAAUUUGGGCUUAGUUGGAUAUUUUUUUUAAGCAAAACGGUGUGCUCGCGGGAAGAUAGAGACAAGGUUGAUCUGUCGAUUGUUAUGAAUAAAUUAAAAAAUCUACACCCACCCCAUUUUAUCCCAACUUAUUUAAUGAAUCCAGUCGUCUACUAAGACAAUAGAUGCAUCAUGUCAUCAAAAAUACCGUUGGCCUUCGCUGGUUUCCUCACUCAAAACCACCACGAAGAAGCCUUGAGCCUCUGGUUUUUCUCCUACACUUUUGGUACACUCACCUAUGUAACCAAACCCCCUUACUCUCAUUUACUUCAUCAAAUCAUAGCUCCUGAUAUCUUAAUCUCUCCAAAUCCAACUUCAAAGAGUUUCCAACUCGUUGGUUCUAUAUUACAGUAACAGAGAAAAUGAGUUCAGCAAGCAAAGCGUGGUUGGUUGCAGCAGCUGUUGGAGGUGUUGAGGCGUUGAAAGAUCAAGGGUUCUGUAAAUGGAACUACACCUUAAGAUCGCUGCACCAACAUGCCAAGAACCAUGUCAGAUCAGCCUCUCAGGCCAAGAAGCUUUCUUCUUCAUCUUCUGCCAUGAUCUCGAAUAAAGUCAAGGAAGUGAAAGCAAAACAGUCUGAGGAAUCUCUAAAAAAAGUCAUGUAUUUGAUCAGCUGCUGGGGUCCUUACUAAAGCUAAGAAGCAAGAUGAAAUUGAGAAACUUAUCGUGAUAGGAUUACCCUGAUCGUUGCAAGUUGAUGUAAAUAUUUGUAAAUUUUGGUGCUGACUUAAUGGAAUCAAACUAUAUUAUUUUUUCAUUAAUUUUUCCUUGCACCAUUUAUUUUUUCUGUUUUCCCCCUUCUCUUGGUAGCACCUCGUGUCACAAGUGAAAAAGGAUCAUGACAAGGUUCAAGUUUAGUGCAUCACAGCAUUUGCUAAGGAUAUUUAAAUCAAUUGCAAUCUCAAGAUAGAAUCGAAAUUCUAAUUUCGUUACGAAAAUCUAUUUUAAAAAAGCUAGGCCUGCAACUUUGACUGGUUUUUUAAUGACAUCCAUGGAUUAAGAAAUAAUUAUUGGAUUAAAACCUUACCCCGUUUUUGGAGCCAAAUGGAAGUUAUAUAUAUAUAUAUAUAUAUAUAUAUAUAUAUAUAUAUAUAUAAUCUGUUAAAUGAAGAUCAACAGGGCUUCUUUACUUCAAUGUCAGAACUUUUGAGCAUUCAAGAAACUUGGAAUGUUGCAAAAUGGUUGAACUUGACAGAAAAGAAAUAUUUUUUUUUGAAGUGAAUAAUGUUUAGUAACGUAAUGAGAAUCCAUUUGAUCACUGCUCAAGUCGUUUAUGCAUCAAAAUUUUGCUUGAUGACAUGUCUGGAUAAGGAGAGCUUGAGAGUUGAGAACUUGGUAUUUUGUGACACACGCAAUGGAUCUACAAUUAUUGUCUGUCCUUUACUCAAGCCCCACUCCUGAAGAAAAACAGGAGGAUUUGCCUCCUAUACUUGAGGCUCACCUCGGAGUUUUAUAAAGCAAACCGUGUGCCUCUUUAUCAAAACAAGGCCCCGCUCUAGCAACAUGAUAAGAUGCAUGAAAAAGAAAUGUAUUUAAUGCCACCAAGUGGUCCUUGAUGGACAUAAAGAUUCAGUCCCAUCAUAGCUGGUGGUUUGGCUCCCUUAAGCUAAAACCACCAGCUACAGCUUGUUCCUAGCUUCCGGUUUCCUUCAAAUUUCUGGCACCUAGUCCGCUACUCUCUUUAUAAGCAAAUCCCAGUUUGCCAUUUACACCAUCGACACGAAUUCUCAAUUACAUCUCAUCCUUUUCAACUAAAAAUCUCACAUCAACGAGUUUCCAACUAUUGUUCUAUUUUAUAUUACAGAGAAAAUGAGUUCAGCAAGUAAAGCUUGGUUGGUAGCUGCUGCUAUUGGAGGUGUUGAGGCCUUGAAAGACCAAGGCUUCUGUAGGUGGAACUACACAUUGAGAUCGCUACACCAACAUGCCAAGAACCAUGUCGGGUCAAUUUCUCAGGCUAAUAAGAAGCUCCCUUAUUCAUCUUCUGCCAUUAUUUCAAAUAAAUUCAAGGAAGAGAAGAUGAAACAGUCAGAGGAGUCUCUAAGAAAAGUCAUGUAUUUGAGUUGUUGGGGUCCUAACUGAUACUCUCAAGAAAAAGGAAAUUCUGAGGAAAUCAGUUCAUAGGAUUAGAGUAAAUUUUUGCAAGUUGAUUUAAACUGUAAAUGCUUGUGCUGACAAUCAAAUAUAUCUCAUUUUAUUGGCAAAAUUUUGGGAAAAUGGCCUUAAAGUAACAUUAACAAAGGAUAUGGCUCAUGUUAAAAAAAACACCAGCAACUCAAUUGGAGGAGGAGUUGUAUCACAGAAGCUAAAUAUCUUGAUAAGUUGAUAAAUUAGGACAAAUCUUAAACUGGAAUUCUCAAUUUCAGUUUGGCCCAGAAGAAAAUUAGUUUAGGAAUAUUUCUUUACUCACAAGUGUUCACGGCAGGGUGAUGAUCACUGUAUGUGAAAUGAAAACGCUGUGUUUGUUUUCCGGAAAGUGGUUUCCGGGAAAGCACUUUCCAAACUUUCUCGUGUUUGUUUGCCAGUAGGAAAGUUGGUCAAUGGAAAACACUUUCCAGUAAAAGGAAAAUUUGGCUUGGUUUUCAGGAAAGUGUUUUCCUGAAAAAUUUGAGGGGAAAACACUUUCCAGAAGUUGUGAAAAUUUUAGAAAUGUCAUUAUUUGCUGAUUAUAUCAAAUUUGAUCCUCAAACUUUUGAUUGCUAUAUAUAUUUUGUUUUGAAUAUUUAUUUUUCAAUUUCAUCUCUUAAAAUUUUAUUUUUAUAUUAACUUUGGUCCUUAUUUUUAUAAUUGUUAUUUGCUUUUUUCUUACCAUUUUUUUAUUGAAAUUUUUUAUUUAUCAAAUUUGAUCCUCAUUCUUUUUGAUUGUUACUUAUUUUAUUUGAAAUAAUUUAUGAAAUGUUGAUUAUUAUUAUUUUAAUUUCUUCAUUUUUCAUUUUUUUUUAUUUUUUUAGAUUUGAUCCCUAUUAUUUUGAUUAUUAUUUGUUUUAUUUGAGAUAAUUUAUGAAAUUAUAUUUUUUUUUUUCAAUUUCAUUCUCAUUCAACUUUUUAAUUUGUAAGAUUUGUUCCUCAUUAUUUUAAUAAACUUGAGAAAAAUAAAAUAUUAAUAAGUUAUUUUCCAGCUCAUUUUUCAUGACAUAACUAAACACUGGAAAGUGUUUUCCAGUUCAUUUUCCAUAACACUACCAAACAUCGGAAAAUACUUUCCCGGAAUUCACUUUCCAGGAAUUCACUUUCCUCGGAAUUCACUUUCCAAAAGAAAUUCACUUUCCUGCAAACAAACGGAGCCUUAAAUUACAAAAGAAUUGUAUAAAUAAUUAACCCGAAGAAUUUUUGAAUAAUUAUAUGAUGAAUUUAUGAAAAACUUUCACACAGAAAUUGGGUUUUUAAAGACAACAAUUAUAGAUGAGAGAUGUGUGUGGGGGUCUAAAUAUGGGAUUAGCCUUAAAAAAUAUCGAUCUUGGGACGUGAAGAAUAUUUUCAAACCAAUUGAUUUGGUGAAAACUUUGGUGUUAUCAUUGAUGUUGGCAAAACGUUAUCUAGAAAAAGCUAUUGGUAUAGAAAAUAUAUACUUGAUUUUCAUAGACAUGUGAUUAUUGGCUUGAUGUUUGGAUCACGACCCCAACAAUAACAAGGAGGCGAAGGUUUAUUGCCAUUUGGGUCAACAAAAACAAUUUUGUUCUGGUAAAAAUGUAUGCCAUCAUUUUCCUCUCAUGUUUUUUAAACAAAUAUGCUCGAAAGACAUGAAAAGAAAAGAAAAAAUUAGAAAAAGAAAACUUGUUUUGUAUAGAGUUUACAAGUGUAGAUAGUUUUUGUUAAAUUUUUGCAAGAAAGAGCAAAGUUUAAUUAUCUUGCUUAGAGGUAGUUUAGUUAAAAAAAAGAGUGGAAAAGUAAGCAAUAUGAUAUCUGAAUGAGUGUACAAGUUCAAGACGCCUUACAUGAGAAGUCCAAAUUUAAUUAUCAUGUUUUGGAGACAGGUAGUCAAAAAGACUUGAAGAAAGAUUUGUGAUUUUUUUUAUAGACAAGUGGUUACAGAAUAAUGAAAAAGGAUAUCUUAUACUUUAGAAAAUAUAUGAUCAUAGUGUUUUGGAGACAUUUAUGAAGAUUCAAUUAAGACAUGAAGAUUUUAGUAUGAAAAAUUAAAGAAGCUAGAGUUUAUUUUCAAUAUAAGUUAUAUAUUUAUUACACUGAAUAGGCUAAUUUGUUUGUUUUGUUUAUUGUAAUUUCAUGCUUGCAAGAGUUAUUUUUCAAUGCUAUUGUGUAAUCUUUUAUAUAUAUAUAUAUAUUCAAUUACUAUCUUUGCUUAUUUUUUUAUUGUCUAAUUAAAAUAAAACUAACUUAUUAAAUUUAAAUGAGGCUAUAACCUGAGUUAUUUGUUUUUUUUUAUUUCUUUUAAAUAUGCUUGUGACACCUAGAUUAUAGUUGUCUUUUUUUAUUUUUUAUUUUUUAUUUUAAUUGAUACCUUUUUAAAAAAAUAUUUUUUUUUAAUUUAUAUUUGCAUUAAUAUCUCUUCUCAAUUAUUUUUUAUUUUUAAUUGAUUUUUCCUUCAAUUUCAUCCAUAUCCUUUGGUUUAAUUUGAUUUUUAAAUCAAACUUAUUUCUUAUUCUUUUGAUAUUUUUAAACCUUUUAUAAAUUGAUUUUUUUUCAAUUACAUUCCUUGGCAUUUAAUUUCAAUUUAUUUUUCUAUUAAAUUUGGUUCCCGUUAUUUGUUUUUCUUCUUGUCUUUUAUGGGGUUAGUCUCAUCCUCAUUACAAGGGUCACAAGUUUCGAAGGUUAACAUUGGUUGACUUUGAUUUUUUUAAGUUUUUUUAUCAAAUUGAUUUAUUUUUAAUUUUAUCCUAUAAUAUUUAAUUUUUUUUAAUUAGUUUUUUUUUAUCUUUUUUUAUAUGGAGUUAUCUCAAUCCUAUACCCAUAGUCUUAGAGUUAGUGGCUUAAUCCAAGUUAACUCGGAUUUGUUUUCAUAUAUAAAUAUAAUUUUCUUAAUUCCAUUGCUAAAGAUCUUUUUAUUGAGAAUUUUGCUUCGUUGUUUUUUUUGUUUGCCUUCCAAUGCAGUCGGUCUCAGUCUCAUGACCACGGUUGUGGAUUUUAAAAGUUAAUAUUUGUUAAUUUUGAUUUGUUUAGGUUUUUUUUUUUUUCAAUUUCAUCAUUCAACAUUUAAAUUUUUAGGAUUGAUCUUCAUGCUUUUUUUUUAUUCACUUUCUUUUUUAUGGGGCUAUCUCAAUCUAAUGCCCAAAAUCGUGAAGUUAGUGAGUUAACCUAGCAGAGACAAGUUUGAUAUUAGAAUAAAUGGAUUUAAAUAAUAUUUUAUUUUUAACUUUUUCGUAUUAAAAUGAUUUGAAUAUAUAUAUAUAUAUAUAUAUAUAUAUAUUUUAAAAGCAAAAACAAACUAGGUAUAAUAAUAAAAACUUAAUUUAUCUCCAUUUUUUUAAUGACCAAGUUGUAUUCCAAUAAUUGAAGGGGAAAUAGAGACCACUUGUCUUCUAAAAAAUACCGUUGGCCUUCGCUGGUUUCCUCACUCAAAACCACCACCAAGAAGCCUUUAGCCUCUGGUUUUUCUCCUACAAUUUUGGUACACUCACCUAUAUAACCAAACCCCUUUACUCCCAUUUCCUUCAUCAAAUCAUUGCUCCUGAUAUCUUAAUCUCUUCAAAUCCCACUUCAAAGAGUUUCCAACUCGUUGGUUCUAUAUUACAGUAACAUGAAAAAUGAGUUCAGCGAGUAAAGCUUGGUUGGUUGCAGCAGCUGUUGGAGGUGUCGAGGCCUUGAAAGACCAAGGGUUCUGUAGGUGGAGCUACACCUUGAGAUCCCUUCACCAACAUGCCAAGAACCAUGUCAGAUCAGCCUCUCAGGCCAAGAAGCUUUCUUCUUCAUCCUCUGCCAUGAUCUCGAAUAAAAUCAAGGAAGUGACAGCAAAACAGUCGGAGGAAUCUCUAAGAAAAGUCAUGUAUUUGAGCUGUUGGGGUCCUUCCUAAAGCUAAGAAGCAAGAUGGAAUUGAGAAAAUUAUCGUGAUAGGAUUACCCUGAUCGUUGCAAGUUGAUGUAAAUAUUUGUAAAUUUUGGUACUGACUUAAUGGAAUCAAACUAUAUUAUUUCUUGAUUAAUUUUUCCUUGCACCAUUUAUUUUUUUCUGUUUUCCCACUUCUUUUGGAAAGGAUCAUGAAAAGGUUCAAUUUUAGUGCAUCACAGCAUUUGCUAAGGAUAUUUGAAUCAAUUGCAAUCUCAAGAUAGAAUCUAAAUUCUAAUUUGGUUAAGAAAAUCUAUUAAAACAAAAUCCAGGUCUAACUUUGACUGGUUUUUUAAUGACAUAUAUAUUAUCUGUUAAAUGAAGAUCAAUAGGGCUUAUUUAUUUAAAUGUCAGAACUUUUGAACUUUCAAGAAAAUUGGAAUGUGGCAAAAUGGUUGAACCUGACAAAAAAAAAAAGUAUUUUCUUGAAUAUCUGAAAAAUGAAUUAGCUCGUAAGAAAUAAUUAUUUUGAAGUGAAUAGUGUUUCGUAACAUUAGAGAAUCCACUUGCUCACUGCUCAGGUCGUUUAUGCGUCAAAAUUUUGCUGGAUGCCAAGUCUUUAGAACGCUCGAUUAAGGAGAGCUUGAGAGUUCAGAACUUUGUAUUUUGUGACGCAUGCAAUGGAUCUACAAGACUACAAGUAUUGUCUGUCCUUUACUCAAGCCCCACUGCUGAAGAAAAACAAGUGGAUUUGCCUCCUAUACUUGAGGCUCACUUCGGAUUUUUAUAAAGCAAACCGUGUGCUCUUUACCAAAACAUGGCCCCGCUCUAGCAACAUGAUAAGAUGCAUGAAAAAGAAAUGUAUUUAUAAUUCCACCAAGUGGUCCUUGAUAGACAUAAAGAUUCAGUCCCAUCAUAGCAUAACCACGAUAAAAUAAUACCACUGGCUCCCUUAAACCAAAACCAGCAACCACAGCUUGCUCCUUGCUUCCGGUUUCCUCCCAAUUUCUGGCAAUUAGUUCCCAACUCUCUUUAUAAGCAAAUCCCAGUUUGCCAUUUACACCAUCGACACGGAUUCUGAAUCACAUCUCAUCGUUUUCAACUAAAAAUCCCACAUCAAAGAGUUUCCAACUAUUGUUCUAUUUUAUAUUACAGAGAAAAUGAGUUCAGCAAGUAAAGCUUGGUUGGUAGCUGCUGCUAUUGGAGGUGUUGAGGCCUUAAAAGACCAAGGCUUCUGUAGGUGGAACUACACAUUGAGAUCGCUACGCCAGCAUGCCAAGAACCAUGUCGGGUCAAUUUCUCAGGCUAAUAAGAAGCUCCCUUGUUCAUCUUCUGCCAUUAUUUCAAAUAAAUUCAAGGAAGAGAAGGCGAAACAGUCAGAGGAGUCUCUAAGAAAAGUCAUGUAUUUGAGUUGCUGGGGUCAAAACUGAUACUCUCAAGAAAGAAGAAAUUCUGAGGAAAUCAGUUCAUAGGAUUAGAGUAAAUUUUUGCAAGUUGAUUUAAACUGUAAAUGCUUGUGCUGAUUGCCAAUCAAAUAUAUCUCAUUUUAUUGGCAAAAUUUUGGGAAAAUGGCCUUAAAGUAACAUUAACAAAGGAUAUGGCUCAUGUUAAAAAAAAAACCAGCAACUCAAUUGGAGGAGGAGUUGAUAAAUUAGGACAAAUCUUAAACUGGAAUUCUCAAUUUCAAUUUGGCCCAGAAGAAAAUUAGUUUAGGAAUAUUUCUUUACUCACAAGUGUUCACGGCAGGGUGAUGAUCACUGUAUGUGAAAUUAAACAGGCCUUUAAAUUACAAAAGAAUUGUAUAAAUAAUUAACCCGAAGAAUUUGUGAAUAAUUAUCUGAUGAAUUUAUGAAAAACUUUCACACAGAAAUUGGGUUUUUAAAGACAACAAUUAUAGAUGAGAGAUGUAUGGGGGUCUAAAUAUGGGAUUAGCCUUAAAAAAUAUCGAUCUUGGGACGUGAAGAAUUUCAAACCAAUUGAUUUGGUGAAAACUUUGGUGUUAUCAUUGAUGUUAGCAAAACGUUAUCUAGAAAAAGCUAUUGGUAUAGAAAAUAUAUACUUGAUUUUCAUAGACGUGUGAUUAUUGGCUUGAUGUUUGGAUCACGACCCCAACAAUAACAAGAAGGCGAAGGUUUAUUGCCAUUUGGGCCAACAAAAACAAUUUUGUUCUGGUAAAAAUGUAUGCCAUCAUUUUCCUCUCAUGUUUUUUAAACAAAUAUGCUCGAAAGACAUGAAAAGAAAAGAAAAAAAUUAGAAAAAGAAAACUUGUUUUGUAUAGAGUUUACAAGUGUAGAUAGUUUUUGUUAAAAGUUUUUGCAAGAAAGAACAAAGUUUAAUUAUCUUGCUUAGAGGUAGUUUAGUAAAAAAAAAGAGUGGAAAAGUAAGCAAUAUGAUAUCUGAAUGAGUGUACAAGUUCAAGACGCCUUACAUGAGAAGUCCAAGUUUAAUUAUCAUGUUUUGGAGACAGGUAGUCAAAAAGACUUGAAGAAAGAUUUGUGAUUUUUUUUAUAGAUUUGUGAUUUUUUUUAUAGACAAGUGGUUAUAGAAUAAUGAAAAAGGAUAUCUUAUACUUUAAAAAAUAUAUGAUCAUGGUGUUUUGGAGACAUUUAUGAAGAUUCAAUUAAGACAUGAAGAUUCUAGUGUGAAAAAUUAAAGAAGCUAGAGUUUAUUUUCAAUAUAAGUUAUAUAUUUAUUACACUGAAUAGGCUAAUUUGUUUUUUUUGUUUAUUGUAAUUUCAUGCUUGCAAGAGUUAUUUUUCAAUGUUAUUGUGUAAUAUAUAUAUAUAUAUAUAUUCAAUUACUAUCUUUGUCUAUUUUUUUAUUGUCUAUUUAAAAUAAAACUAACUUAUUAAAUUUAAAUGAGGCUAUAACCUGAGUUAUUUGUUUUUUUUAUUUCUUUUAAAUGUGCUUGUGACACCUAGAUUAUAGUUGUCUUUUUUUUAUUUUUUUAUUUUAUUUUUUAUUUUAAUUGAUACCUUUUUUAAAAAAUAUAUAUAUUUUUUAAUUUAUAUUUGCAUUAAUAUCUCUUCUCAAUUAUUUUUUAUUUUUAAUUGAUUUUUCCUUCAAUUUCAUCCAUAUCCUUUGGUUUAAUUUGAUUUUCAAAUCAAACUUAUUCCUUAUUCUUUUGAUAUUUUUAAACUUUUUUAUAAAUUGAUUUUUUUUCAAUUACAUUCCUUGGCAUUUAAUUUCAAUUGAUUUUUCUAUUAAAUUUGGUUCCCGUUAUUUGUUUUUCUUCUUGUCUUCUAUGGGGUUAGUCUCAUCCUCAUUACAAGGGUCACGAGUUUCGAAGGUUAACAUUGGUUAACUUCAAUUUUUUUAGGUUCUUUUAUCAAAUUGAUUUAUUUUUAAUUUUAUCCUUUAAUAUUUGAUUUUUUUAAUUAAUUUUUUUUAUCUUUCUUUAUAUGGGGUUAUCUCAAUUCUAUGCCCAUAGUCUUAGAGUUAGUGCCUUAAUCCAAGUUAAAUCAUAUAUACAUAUAAUUUUCUUAGUUCCAUUGCUAAGGAUCUUUUUGUUGAGAAUUUUGCUUCAUUGUUUUUUUUUGUUUGCCUUCCAUGCAGUCGGUCUUAGUCUCAUAACCACGGUUAUGGAUUUUAAAAGUUAACAUUUGUUAAUUUUGAUUUGUUUAGGUUUUUUUUAAAAUUGAUUUUUUUUUAAUUUUAUCAUUCAACAUUUAAAUUUUUGGGAUUGAUCUUCAUACUUUUUUUUUUCACUUUUCAUUUCAUGGAGCUAUCUCAAUCUAAUGCCCAAAAUUGUGAAGUUAGUGAGUUAAUCUAGAUUGACCAAAAUCUUUUUUUAUUGAUUUUUUUAAAAUAUUUAUUUUUAGUUGUCACUCAAUAUUAGAUUGUUUGAGUUUCAUAUUUUUUUCAAUUUGUUUUUGUUAACAAUUCUUUGUAUUGUUUAUUGGCACGAAUAAUCUUUUAAUUAAACAAAAAGUUUAUUCUAUAAAACAAAGUUAUUGAACAUAAGUAAGUAGAUAACAUGGGUUGCAUGAUCAAAUAUUUUAAUCUUAAUAAGUCAUUGAUUAAAUAUUAAUUUAUUUAAUUAAAUAUAUGUAUAAAUAUUUUAAUAUAUGAUUGAGAAUUUUUUAUAUAAAAAACAUGAAGAAAAACUUAUUUAUUCUUUAUUUUUUUAUUAAAAAAUUAAGAUAUAUAAUCCUCUACGAAGCGCUGUUGAAAUAGUUUAUUGUAGUUUUCUAGACCAUCACAAUUGUUUACAGACAGUCCUCACUAUUACUUCAAUUGUCUUCAAAAACAGUCUUGCCCAAAACAAAACAUUGAUUGAUAAGUGACAAACCCCAUUUGUUUAAUGCGUGUGACUCAGAGCAGAGACAAGUUUGAUAUUAGAAUAAAUGGAUUUAAAUAAUAUUUUAUUAUUUUUUAAAAAAAUAUUUUUAACUUUUUCAUAUUAAAAUGAUUUAAAAAUAAUAAUAAAAAAUAUAUUUUUUUUUAAAGCAAAAACAAACUAGGUAUAAUAAAAAAACUUAAUUUAUCUCCAUUUUUUUAAUGACCAAGUUGUAUUCCAAUAAUUGAAGGGGAAAUAGAGACCACUUGUCUUGUAAAAAAUACCGUUGGCCUUUGCUGGUUUCCUCACUCAAAACCACGACGAAGAAGCCUUGAGCCUCUUGUUUUUCUCCCACACUUUUGGUACACUCACCUAUAUAACCAAACCCCUUUACUCCCAUUUACUUCAUCAAAUCAUAGCUCCUGAUAUCUUAAUCUCUCCAAAUCCCACUUCAAAGAGUUUCCAACUUGUUGGUUCUAUAUCACAGUAACAGAGAAAAUGAGUUCAGCAAGCAAAGCUUGGUUGGUUGCAGCAGCUGUUGGAGGUGUUGAGGCGUUGAAAGACCAAGGGUUCUGUAGGUGGAACUACACCUUGAGAUCCCUGCACCAACAUGCCAAGAACCAUGUCAGAUCAGCCUCUCAGGCCAAGAAGCUUUCUUCUUCAUCCUCUGCCAUGAUCUCGAAUAAAGUCAAGGAAGUGAGAGCAAAACAGUCUGAGGAAUCUCUAAGAAAAGUCAUGUAUUUGAGCUGUUGGGGCCCUUACUAAGCAAAGAAGCCACAUGAAAUUGAGGAAAUUAUCGUGAUAGGAUUAGCCUGAUUGUUGCCAGUUGAUGUAAAUUGAUUUUUAAAUAUUGUUGCUGACUUCAUGGAAUCAAACCAUAUUAUUUUUGGAUUAGUUUUUCCUUGCACCAUUUAUUUUAUAGUUUCUGUUUUCCCAUUUCUUUUCUCAGGCCCUCAUGUCGCAAAGUGAAAAGGAUCAUGACAAGGUUAAUUUUAGUGCACCACAGCUUAAAAAAAAAUUGAGGGGCAUUUGUAUUCAAAGAUAUUUGCAUCAAUCGGAAUCUCACUACAAUCUAAAUUAUAAUUUGGUAAAAAUAAAAAUUCAAUUCAAGAAAAAUUAGAUUCGAUUUAGAACUUAUACUGGUUUUUCAAAGACAUAAAUGGAUUAAGAAAUAAUUAUUGGACUUAUCCCCUUUUUGGAGCCGAAAGGAAGUUCAUUAGUCUUUUGGUUUUUUGCAUAAAUGAAGAUGAAUAGGGAUUAUUUUCUUCAAUGUCAAAACUUGUGAAAUUUCAAGAAACUUGGGAAUGCUGCAAAAUGGUUGAACUGGCACAAAAAAAUUAGUAUUUUCUUGAAUCUCUGACAGAUGAAUUAGAUCGCAAGAAAUACUUUUUUUUGAAGUGAAUAAUGUUUCGUAACGUAAGAGAAUCAUUUCUCUACUACUCGUAAAAACAUAAAUUAUUUGGAUUCUUUUUUUUAAGGUUUAGCUAUAUCUAUUGGUGUAAAUAUUAUAAUAACUUUUUUUAUGUAAAAUUAGCAGUUUGUUUUAUAAAACAUUUAGCAAAAUAAUAUCAUUUAAAAAAGAUUUGAUUAAAUAACAUGUUUUUAUCAUAUCAUGCCAAAUAUGAUAUUUAUUAAAUGUUGUUAUUUGUAGAAGUAACAAAUUGAAACUCCAAUCAUCUAGCUCAACAGGUUAAUUAAUUGAAUUAAGUUAUAGUAGUUAUAUAAACUGAUCGAUGUUUUCAUAUAAAAAUGAUAAUUUAAUGAAUUUUAUUAAAAUAUUUUUUAUGAAUCAAAAUAUAUAUCUUUUUUCAACUUAUAUACAAAAAAAUAGAUUUUAAUUAAAAUCUUAAAAUAUUAUUAUUCACAUAGUGAUUGUCCUUUGUUUUUCAUUGUCAAUGAUGUAGCUAUAUUUGCAAUAACUGGUAAUUCUAAAUAAUCAGAUGCAACUCUGCUGUAACUAAAUGAGAUUUGGCCCAAACAUAUUAUUUGGAUAGCUUUGCAUUUGUGAACUAAUAGGACAUGUAUAAACUUAGAAAGAAGGUCUAAUUAUACCAUAACAAAAUAAUGCUUAAAAGAACCAUAACUUUUGAUUAGACACUUAAAUUCUUUACAUGAGUUUUCAGAGGAAGUUUUUUCUAUUGUAGCUACUGUAUCGCUAUAUGAACCGUUAGAUUUUUAAAUAUAAAAAAUCUAGUUGAGUCACUUUGAUUUUAAUAACUUUGAGAUUUUUUUUGUUAUUUUUCGAAUCGAUCAACUGGUUUCACUGACCAUUAUGAAUCGGUUGAGCCAGAUAAUUGAAAUUUCACCUUGUCAUGUUUUAAAAGUGUGAUAUUUAUUAAAUGUCGCUAUUAUUUUAAUUUUUUUAAAAAUAAUAAUAUUUAAUAAAUAUUAUAUUUUUAAAGCACAAUAAAAUCAAAAUAUGCCAUUUCAUAAAAAAAAAAAUCUUCUCUGUUAAUUUGCCAAUUGUUUUGAUUUUAUUCACUAAUUUCCUAAUUUAUCCCUUUUUUUCCGUAACACAGCUAGCUAUAAUGUGCGGGUUCUUCAUUUAUUUAUUUUUCUCAACUGUGAUACAUAACAAUUAAUUUUUUUUCCACGUUUGUUAUUUUGGAAAAAAAAAAAUCGUAUCUUGUGACACAUGCAAUGGAUCUACAAUUAUUAUUGUCUUCAGGAGGUAAUCCUGUCCGUUCCCUGUUUUUGAGUAGAUGCCUAGACAAAUGCUAAAAUGCUAUCCUUCCAGCCCCACUACUAAAGAAAAACAAGUGGAUUUGCCUCCAAUACUUGAGGCUCAAUUUUGAUUUUUAUAAAGCAAACCGUGUGCCUCUUACCAAAAACAAGUCCCCACUCCAGCUUUGUCGUAAUUGAAUAUGAUAAGAUGCAUGAAAAAGAAAUCCCCCAUUUUUUCUCCAUUUGUAUUUAAUGCCACCAAGUGGUCCUUGAUGGACAUAAAGAUUCAGUCCCAUCCUAGCCUAACUGCACUAAAAUAAUACCACUGGCUUUAACUUGUGCCAAAACCACCAGCCACAGCUUAUCCCUGGCUUCCGGUUUCCUCCAAUUUUCGGGUCCUCUAGUCCCCUCCUCUCUAUAUAAGCAAUCCCCAGCUUGUCAUCUCCACCAUCAAACACCAUUUCCCUUCUCAAUUACAUCUCAACUUUUUCAAAACGUUGUCCAUCUUCUAGCUCUUCAGUUCAAUCGAAAGAAAUAGAAAAAUGAGUUCAACAAGCAAAGCUUGGGCUGUUGCCACUAGUAUUGCAGCUGUGGAGGCUUUGAAAGAUCAAGGAUUUUGCAGAUGGAACUACACAAUAAGAUCACUAUACCAACAUGCCAAGAACCAAGGCAAGUCAUCCUCUCUGCCCAAGAAGCUCUCUUCUCCAGCUUCUACUGUGGUUGCCGGUAAAGUAAGAGAGAAUCAGAAAGCAAGGCAAUCCGACGAGUCACUGAGGCAGGUCAUGUACUUGAGUUGCUGGGGUCCUUACUAGCCAGGCAGUGAACUACCAGCAAGGAACUAUGGCCAUGCAUGCACUGGUUGCAGCAUAGAGACAAUCGAAGUCUUUCCAAGAGAGACUUAUUUGGAGAAACAUGACAAGGCCGACUUCUUAUGACGAUGGACGCUGGAACCCAUCAACGAUUAGUCAGCUUCAUUUGAAUGUUAUGCUCUAGCAAUAUAUGUUUCAAUCAAUUGUAGCCCAAUGAAUUGCUGAAUGAUGGGAGCAAAUUCUUUCCAUUGCUGCAACAACUUGCAAGUGAUGUAAAUUGUAAUUUUUCAGAAUGUAACGGCAUUUAAAUUAAGACUCAAUUGAAUCAGUAAGCUAAUUACAUGAGUGGAUUAAAGUCUUGUUCUCUGCUUUUAGCCCAUAGGGAAUAAUUACUACAACGUCAAAACCUGUGUGCCUUCAUGAAACUUGGACUGUGGCAGAGUGGAUGAACCUCACACGACACUUUCUACUAUAAGUUUAUAUAUUGGGAUUAGGCUGCAGUCAAGUCUUGAGUAACAAAAAUUAAACCGGGUGGGGUUUUUUAUUGUGGCAGUGUGCGACAUCGCGGCGAAAAAUAUAAGUGUUUUUCAUUUUAAAUCGACAAUGUAAAUCUAUAUCUAUUUUAAAUCUACAAUGUAAAUCUAUAUCUAUUUGGCAAAUGGAGAGACAAGAAAUUCUUGUUUUUUGUUGGUGGAAAAUGGAAUGGGAGUCGUCACCUAGUAUUUUGGUCACUAGAAAUUUUAACUGGUCUCAGAGAUCGGGCACGGGGACUGGUUGCGUAAAGAGAAGGUAUUAGCACCCCAAAUACGCCUUACCUAAGAUAAGCUGCAUUAUUUUAUUGUCUGAUAAAAUCUAAGGUCUUUUCGUGUUUUCCUAGUUGUUGGUAUAGUUCAAGAAAAGUCCUCCUCGGUAAGGAGAUCCUUAUCUUAAUGGGUAAUUCUGACGUUAACAAAAGAAUUUAAUAUUCAGAAUAUGUCUUACGUAUAAGAUCGUAACCCCAAAUACUAAGUCCUCCUCGGUAAGGAGAUCCUUAUCUUAAUGGGUAAUUCUGACGUUAACAAAAGAAUUUAAUAUUUGGAAUACGUCUUACGUAUAAGAUCGUAACCCCAAAUACUAAAAGAAAACACAAUAAUUUUUUUGGAAGUUUUGAAAUAUUGGUCUAGUUCUCAUGGCUUGAAUAAACUGGUUAUUAAAGCCAACAUGCAUGUUAAUACAUAUAUUGUUUUGAAGUUUCCUUUGUUGCGUGAAAAUACGAUGUUAUAAUAUUUAUAUAUAUAUAUUGGAGAGACUAGGCCGUAUGCAUUAAAACAAAAACAUUUUUUUUAUAUAUAUAUUUUUGAUGUUUUGACGAAAACCGGGUAUUUUAAUACUUGAUUUGUAUCUUUACGGUAUAAAAAUACAAACCAAUAUUAAACCAUUUUGACAAAAAAAUAUGCAGGAAAAUCAUAGGAUUUUUUAUAAUAUAUUUUUUUGAAAGCAAAACAUUUUUUAUUUUAAAAUUUUUUGAUGUUUUGACGGAAACCGAGUAUUUUAAUACUAGAUUUGUAUCUUUACAGUAUAAAAAUACAAACCAAUAUUAAACCAUUUUGACAAAAAUAUGCAGGAAAAUAAACAAUAUUUUUUUCAAAUAUUUUUUAGAAUAUUUCUUUUUAUUUUAUACACACACAUAAUAUAAAACAAUAUAAUAUAUAAUAUAAUAUAUAAUAUAAUAUAUAAUAUAAUAUAUUAUGUGGGCUGGGCCGACCCAAAUAAAUGGGCCAGGCUCAGCCCAGCAUGGAUUGGGCCAAUCUCGGCCCAUUCAAUCUCUCAUUUUUGUCUGGGCCAGACUGGCCCAGAAUCAAUCUGGCCCAGCGCAAGAAACCCAUCGAGAGGGGAAUUAUUUUUCCCCUCCUAUCAAUUCUACAUGCAGGAGGAAAACGCCACGAGAAAAAAAUGCAGGGAGAAGACUUUACCUGGCGUGGAGGAGGUGGUCGUUGGUGGUGCUGCGAUGGAGGCCGGUGGCGGUGUCGUGGCUCACGGACGGCGGCUCCAAGCGGCGGUGCUGCUGUUUCAAACGGCGGAGGGUGAGGAUACUGCUCUUCCUUUCUCCUCCGUAUGGCUUCCUCUUCUUUCGUUUUUGGUGGUUUCCUCAGUUCGGGUUUGCUAGUUGUUCUUUUUGGUUCGGUUCUUUCCCUCCUUUUCCUAUGUUUUCUCUUUUUUUUUCUUUCGGUUUGUUCCUUCUCUUCCCUCUCUACUGAUCGUUCUCUCUCUUCGGGUUUUCUCCUUUCUUUCCCCUCUCUCUAUUCGAGCCUCUCUUUUCGUUUUCUUUUUUUUCCUCUUUUUUCCUCCCCCUCGCGUGCUGGCGUCCAGUCUUCAUUUAUAUGGGGCAAGGGAGCGGGGGCGUCGCUAUUGCCACCCUAUGGCAGCGCACGGGGAGCAGGGCUUUGCUGCCCUGCCACAGCGCCGGGCUGGCUGGCCAGUGGGCGUGGCUGGUAGGGCGCGGCUCCCUCGACUUUUCAUCAUGAGAGCGCAUGGGGGGGCGGUUUUGGCAGAUGUGGCAUGUCGGGUUCAACGACGAAAGAAGAAAAAAUUGCCUUCCCCUGCUGCACGUCCAGGGGAAGAGAUAGGGAACAGUGUCGUUCAAAACGACACUAUUCUGUUUUUUUUUUUUUUAACAUGAAACGGCGCCAUUUUAGACAAAACGCGCCGUUUCAUUUAAAUCAAAAAGGGGCGCCGAAAGGCGUCAUUGUCCAAGUCAGUCCUUAAUUAUAUUUUGUUCAUUUCAAUUGCAUCCCUUCCAAUUUCGGUCGCCACCCCUAUAUUUGUCCGCGUUUUUCACUUCAAUCCUUGGCCUCUGAUUUAUGCAAUUUGACCCUCAAUUAAUCAAUAAACUUCCAAUUUCUUCAAUUUAGCCCAUGAUUUUGUUAAUUACAACCCCUAUAUUUACACGCCUUUUCCAAUUUGGUCCUUGGUUUCGGAUAUUCUCAAUUCAGUCCCUAAUUGGCCAUUAAAGUUCAAUAUUUAUGCAAUUAAGCCCUUGAUUUGACCAAAUCAAUUCCUAAAAAUUAUAAUUUGACCCCAGAACUUUAAUUUCUUCCAAUUAAAGCCCAAAUUGACAUAAAAAUCAAUUUUUCUUGCAAUCAAAACCUCUAUAAAUUCAAUUAAACUUGCAAUAAAAUCCAAUUAAGUCCAUAAACAUCCAAUUUUGAACUUUUCUCUUCAAAUUGAAUUUUUUUCUUUUCCAACUGGGCUUUCAUCAUUCAAGGAUACACUGUCAAAAUUUCAAUCUUUGUAUUUUUAACCUCCUAUUAUUUUUUUAUUUUUUUAAUUUCUUCCGGCUAUAUAUAUAUAUAUAUAUUUAUUAUUAUUAUUAUUUAUUACUUUUAUUAUUUAUUUUGAUUUUUAUUAUUUUUGUUAUUAUUAUAUUUUUUAUUUAUUUUUAUUUUUAUUUUUAUUUUUGUGUGGGGACCCAAAAAUGGGUUACAACAUCGAUGUUGAAGAUGCACUAUUUACUUUUUCAAAGAGAUGAUUGGAUUAAAAGAAAAAAAAAGAAGAAGGUAAAAUGUAAGGUGAUUUUGAAUUUUAUAUAAAAAGUUUAUCGUGGUUUUUUAUAUAUUUAUUUUUAUAGAUGAUUGGUCCGAAAUUAAAUUUAGAUAUCAAUUUUUUUUUUAGUUUUUUUUUAAGAGGAAAGGACUAUUGGAUUAGUAGAGAGAGAAAAAAUAAUUAUUAACGAUUAUUCUAGCCAUAAAAAAUAAUUAAAAUUGGUGUUAAUAGAUUAUAUUUUUUACAACGAUAUUUAGUUGACGGAUUCGGCGAAAAAACAAACUAUGCGUAGUUUGUUGUCUUCAUUCUCGAGGGUUGGGUUGGAAGGCUUACGUGUUUGUAUUGCUUUUAUUUUUUUUUAUUUUUUGAUAUUUUAUAUUUUAAUUAAAAAAUUAAUAAAAAAUUUAUUAAAUUCAAUCAAAUUCAUGAGGAGUUUCUGCUUCUCAAAAAAAAAAAAAAAAUCAUCUCUUAUUAAUGAUGAUCUAUUUUUUUAACUCCAACUUAAAAUAGUGCAAUUUUAAUUUUACUAUUAUUAUCAAUAAUAUACUUUUGCUAUAUUAGCACCACGUCCCUAUCAUGAUUUUUUUACUUAACAAAAAAUAUUUCAUACAAAAAAAUUAUCAUGUGCUUUAUUGUUUUUAUUGUUAUGUAAUUAAAUGAAAAAUAAUUUUUGGAAUCAAAAAAUUAUUGAAUUUGAUGACUAACAUGAUUUGCUUUGUGAGUUUGACUGGCCGAGUCGAGUUGAUUUAAGUUUUUAAAUUAAAUACUAUUUUUUUAACCGAUUUUGUUCUUCAACAUUGAGUUAAUUUAAGAUUAAGCUUUUAAUUUGUUUUUUUAUUUUAUUUUUCAGAUUAUCCCUACAACUUUUAUAUCACAUCCAUGUUAAUUUAGGUAAAUCAAAUAUUUUUUUUUAUCUUAAUAUUAAAUAAAAAUAUCGUUCAAUUCAUAAUUAAAAUCUAGUUUUUUAGAAGACACAUCACUAAUAUUUAAAUAAUUUUUUUGUUUUUAAUUUAAAAUCUGCUCCAAACCCACGGCAUAGGGCGGUAGUUCAAAGCUCCGUAAAAGGAAUUCACAAGUUAGAGCAAAUAUUUGGAGUAAUUAUUCAUAAUCUUUCGUAAAAUAGGUAAACCAAUUUAUUUUCUGAUCACAGUCCAUGUCGUUUCCAUAUCAACAUUAUGCAUCACGAGUCAUUUUUGCUUUUUUUGAACCCCUUGCAACUAAAGUUAUUAAAUUGGAUAUGCUAAUAACUUAUUUUAAGAUUUGGACUAAACAAGUUAAUUUAAAUUGUUUUUAUUAAUUAAAAUAAUAUUAUUUAAUUUAUUUUUUAAAAUUAAAUUAAGUUUGAAACUAAUUCAAUCAUGUGAUAAUUUGAUCCAUCAUAUAGUUUAACUAAGUUAAUUAUCAUCUACUUUUUUAAAAAAUUAACUUGAUUCAGGUUUAAUAAUAAUUAUCAAAACUUGAGAACUGUUUUUUCCUUAAGUUUUACUUAUUUAUUUAUCUUUUUAGUGAUAUAUAAAUCGUUAAAAAAUAAUAUAAAUUAUAUCCUGGAAUUUUGCCUAACCGAUUAAGCUAUUAAGUUAAGAUGGUUUUUUGAUAUAGUAUCAGAGCGUUGAUGAUCAAGCGGUCACGAGUUCGAAUCUCACCAUCCCUAUUUAUUUAAUAAAAAUCAAACACAAGAUAAUAUGAGUUUGUGCAAGUUUCAAGUCCAAAUGACUUUUAUUUGAGGAGGUGUCAAUUUAAACUAUUAAAUUGAAAUAAUUUUUUUGAAACGGAAGGAUUCACAAUUAUUGUGUUCAUGAUGUGAUCCUAUACUUUUUCCUGUUUUUGAGUAGAUGACUAGAUAAAAUUUAUUUAAAAAAAAAAAUCAAAACGACAUUGUUUUAGUAAAAAAGAAAACAAAAAAAAUAAAAGCCAAUAAGUUUGUGGCCGGGUCUUUACCAGAUCUUUCCAGGUCAGCCGGAUCACACCAAAUUUUUCCUUUCUUUAUUUUUUUUUCAACCCGGUCCGGUUUCGUUCCCGGAUCGACCUACCAGGUCAUCAGGUUUCAAAACUAUGUCGAAGGUUACCACCUUUGGUUUUUUAUCUCUAUUUUUUAAAUGACCAAGUUGUAUUCCAAUAAUUAAAGGGGAAAUAGAGACCACUUGUCUUAUAAAAAAUACCGUUGGCUUUUGCUGGUUUCCUCACUCAAAACCACCACGAAGAAGCCUUGAGCCUCUGGUUUUUCUCCUACAAUUUUGGUACACACUCACCUAUAUAACCAAACCCCUUUACUCCCAUUUACUUCAUCAAAUCAUAACUCCUGAUAUCUUAAUCUCUCCAAAUCCCACUUCAAAGAGUUUCCAGCUCGUUGGUUCUAUAUUACAGUAACACAGAAAAUGAGUUCAGCAAGCAAAGCUUGGUUGGUUGCAGCAGCUGUUGGAGGAGUCGAGGCCUUGAAAGACCAAGGGUUCUGUAGGUGGAACUAUACCUUGAGAUCGCUACACCAACAUGCCAAGAACCAUGUCAGAUCAGCCUCUCAGGCCAAGAAGCUUUCUUCUUCAUCUUCUGCUAUGAUCUCGAAUAAAAUCAAGGAAGUGAAAGCAAAACAGUCUGAGGAAUCUCUAAGAAAAGUCAUGUAUUCGAGCUGUUGGGGUCCUUACUAAGCAAAGAAGCUAGAACAGAUUGAGGAAGUUAUCGUGAUAGGAUUAUCCUGAUUGUUGCAAGUUGAUGUAAAUUGAUUCGUAAAUAUUGUUGCUGACUUCAGGGAAUCAAACCAUAUUACUUUUGGAUUAAUUUUGGCUUACACCAUUUAUUUUAUAAUUUCUGUUUUCCCAUUUCUUUUCUCAGGCCCUCAUGUCGCAAAGUGAUAAGGAUCAUGACAAGGUUAAUUUUAGUGCACCACAGCUAAAAAAAUUAAAUUGAGGGGCAUUUGUCAAAGAUAUUUGAAUCAAUCGGAAUCUCACUAGAAUCUAAAUUAUAGUUUGGUAAAAAUAAAAAUUCAGUUCAAGAAACAUUAGAUUUAGAACUUAAACUGGUUUUUCUAGGACAAAAAUAGAUUAAGAAAUAAUUAUUGGACUUGUUCCCUUUUGGAGCCAAAAGGAAGUUCUUUAUGUCUUUUGCUUUUCGGCAUAAAUGAAGAUCAAUAGGGAUUAUUUUCUUCGAUGUCAAAACUUAUGAAAUUUCAAGAAACUUGGGAAUGGUGCAAAAUGGUUGAACUGGCACAAAAAAUUAACAUUUUCUUGAAUCUCUGAAAGAUGAAUUAGAUCGCAAGAAAUACUUUUUUUGAAGUGAAUAAUGUUUCGUAAUGUAAGGGAAUCAUUUGUCCACUACUCGUAAGAAAAUAAAUUAUUUGGAUAAAUAAUCGGGUUUUUUUUUUUUUUAAGGUUGAUCUUUACCUAACAGUGUAAAUAUUAUCAUUAAUUUUUUUUUUAUGUAUAUUUUAAAGGUUGUGAAGUAAUAUCAUAAUUUAUUAAUCUGUUUUUAGUGGUUAUUUUUCUAAAAUUAGUAUUUUUUUAAUAAAUUUUGACAGAACAAUAUCAUUUGAAAAUAUUUUUGGUUAAAUAAUACAUUUUCACCUGAUCGUAUUUCUGAAGUGUAACAUUUACUAAAUAUCAUUGUUUCUAAAAGUGACUAGGUGAAUUUCCAAUCACCUGGCAGAAGUGCUUGACUAAUUGAAUUUAGUUGUAUGAAUUGGUUUAUUGUUUUAAAAAAAAUUAUAAUUUAAUAAUUUUUUUCUUUCAAAUAUAUUUUAAGAGUUCAAUAUCUUUAUUCAACUUGUAGAUUCAAAAAUAGAAUCCAAUUAAAAUCUCAAAAAGUUAUUAUACACAAAAUGCUUGUCUUCUAUUUUUUAAUAUCAAUGAUGUAGUUGGAUUUGUGAUAAUAAGUGAUUCUAAGUAGUCAGGUGUGACUCUACCAUAACUAAAUGAGAUUUGGCCCAAAUAUAUUACUUGAUGAUCUAACAUAUGUAUUUAUGAACCAAUGAGACAUAUCUAAACUCAGAAAGAAGGUUUAAUCACGCCAAACCAAAAUAACUCUCAAAAGGACCAUAACUUCUGAUUAGAUGCUCAAAUUCUUUAUAGAAGUUCUCGGAGGUUGUUUUCCUUAUAGUAAUCAUUGCGUCGCUAUGCGAACCAUCAAAUUUUUAGAUAUAAAAAAUCUAGCUGAGGCCUCUCAAAUUUAGCAGUUUUAAGAUUUUUUUUGUUAUUUUUAGAAUUAAUCGACCAAUUUCACUAAUCAUUAUGAAUCUUUCAACUAGUUGAUGCAAAUAAUUGAAAUUUUACCUUGUCGUGCUUUAGAAGCACAAUAUUUAUUAAAUAUUGUUAUUCUAAAACGUGAUAAUUAUUUUAUUUCUUUUAAAGAUAACAAUAUUUAAUAAAUAUUGUAUUUUUAAAAUGCAAUAAAGUGAAAAUAUACCAUUUCAUUAAAAAAUUUGUUUCUCUACUAAUUUGCCAAUUAUUUUGAUUUUAUAUACUAUUUUUUCAAUUUAUCCCCCGUGUAACAUGGCUAGUAGUUACAAUGUGCUGGUUCUUUAAUUUUUUUUGUUCUCAAGUGUGAUACAUAACAAUUAAUUUUUUUGCCACGAUUGUUAUUUUGGAAAAAAAAAAAUCGUAUCUUGUGACACAUGCAAUGGAUCUACAAUUAUUAUUGUCUUCAGGAGGUAAUCCUGUCCGUUCCCUGUUUUUGAGUAGAUGCCUAGACAAAUGCUAAAAUGCUAUCCUUCCAGCCCCACUAUUAAAGAAAAACAAGUGGAUUUGCCUCCAAUAAUACUUGAGGCUCAAUUUUGAUUUUUAUAAAGCAAACCGUGUGCCUCUUACCAAAAACAAGUCUCCACUCCAGCUUUGUCGUCAUUGAAUAUGAUAAGAUGCAUGAAAAAGAAAUCCCCCAUUUUUUCUCCAUUUGUAUUUAUUGCCACCAAGUGGUCCUUGAUGGACAUAAAGAUUCAGUCCCAUCCUCAGUCCCAUCGUAGCCUAACUGCACUAAAAUAAUACCACUGGCUUUAACUUGUGCCAAAACCACCAGCCACAGCUUAUCCCUGGCUUCCGGUUUCCUCCAAUUUUCGGGUCCCCUAGUCCCCUCCUCUCUAUAUAAACAAUCCCCAGCCUGUCAUCUACACCAUCAAACACAAUUUCCCUUCUCAAUUACAUCUUAACUUUUUCAAAACAUUGUCCAUCUUCUAGCUGUUCAGUUCAAUCAAAAGAAAUAGAAAAAUGAGUUCAACAAGCAAAGCUUGGGCUGUUGCCACUAGUAUUGCAGCUGUGGAGGCUUUGAAAGAUCCAAGGAUUUUGCAGAUGGAACUACACAAUAAGAUCACUAUACCAACAUGCCAAGAACCAAGGCAAGUCAUCCUCUCUGCCCAAGAAGCUCUCUUCUCCAGUUUCUACUGUGGUUGCAAGUAAAGUAAGAGAGAAUCAGAAAGCAAGGCAAUCCGACGAGUCACUGAGGCAGGUCAUGUACUUGAGUUGCUGGGGUCCUUACUAGCUAGGCAGUAAACUACCAGCAAGGAACUAUGGCCAUGCAUGGACUGGUUGCAGCAUAGAGACAAUCGAAGUCUUUCCAAGAGAGACUCAUUUGGCGAAACAUGACAAGGCCGACUUCUUAUGGCGAUGGACGCUGGAACCCAUCAACGAUUAUUCAGCUUCAUUUGAAUGUUAUGCUCUAGCAAUACAUGUUUCAAUGAAUUGCUGAAUGAAGGGAGCAAAUUGUAAUUUUUCAGAAUGAAACGGCAUUUAAAAUUAGGACUCAAUUGAAUCAGUAAGCAAAUUACAUGAGUGGAUUAAAGUCUUGUUCUCUGCUUUUAGCCCAUAGGGAUUAAUUACUACGACGUCAAAACUUGUGUGCCUUCAUGAAACUUGGACAGUGUCAGAGUGGAUGAACCUAACACGACACUUUCUACUAUAAGUUUAUGUAUUGGGGUUAGGCUGCAGUCAAGUCUUGAGUAACAUGAUGUAAUUAAUUAACAAAAAUCAAACCGCGUGGGGUUUUCAAUGUUGAAGAAGCACAGUUUACUUUUUCGAAAGAGAUGAUUGGAUUUAAAAGGAAAAAAAAAAGGUAAAAUAAAUAAUGAUUUUGAAUUUUAUAUAAAAAGUUUAUCCGGG
rnacentral:lncRNA from 1 species